UGACUUGAAGUUCACUUUUUGGCAAUUAAUGAUUCAAUAAAUUAUUUCAUUUCUUUGAACAGUUAACUAUCUUUCGUAGUCCCAAUGCACUCACACUUGAGUUCUUGAAGCAAUCCACAAAUUCACUACAUUUUUUAUUGUAUAUUGUCUUAUGUGUUCUUGCAGGUACCCCUAUAUAUGAAUCGAACGUUCAUAAUUAAAUCGAACUUGUAAUUUCAAAUUUAGCUCCUUUAAAACCCGCAGUUUUCAUUCAAAACUUACCACAUGAAACCCGUAGCUUCCAUGCUUAAAUUAAACCAAUACAUGUGUAUAGAACCCGCAUGUUCUACGAUAUAUGUCUAUGGCUUUCCAUACGACUAACCACGUUUUGUUGUACCCUCUGUUUUAGGGACAUGUCAAACUUGAACAAGCUCGAUUUCACAGCUCUGGAUGUCUCUGGAUGAAAACACCUAAAAUGGGUUUAAGACGUGAAGCUCCAUCUUACUACACAAAGUCUUAGAGCUACUAUCGAGAACCUACCGACGAUGAACCUGUUGACGAAGCUUAGAAAGCUACUGCUAUGAUCUUCAUUUGUAGACACAUCCAUGAUGCACUGCAGACCGAGUACCUCGCAGAAGAGGAUCCAUACACACUUUGGCUCGCUUUGGCCGAUUGCUUUGAUCACCAGAAAGACAUUUACUUGUCUGAAGCAAGACAUGACUGGCAACAUUUACGCUUCCAAGACUUUAAGUCUGUGAAUGAAUACAACUCUGAAGUUUGUAGAAUCCGAUCACUGCUUAAGUUCUGUAAAAAGGACUUAACCGAACAGGAUCUCUUGGAGAAGACAUAUUUGAUCUUCAAUGCCACCAAUAUUGUCCUGCAGCAACAAUAUGGGCACAUAAGUUCACCAAAUUUUUGGAUUUAAUAUCUGUUUUACUUCUCGCUGAAAAGCAGAACCAACUAUUAAACUUGACCCACUGGCUUAAACACUCCGCUUGAAGCGCAUACGACUAAUCUUAGCAGCCACAACCGACGGAAACCCUGUCAUGGCUAUUGCCAAGUAUCAUUCACUUCGUGAAACUAACUUUGUGCAUGUAGAACAUCUCGAAGAUAUUACUACAACUUUGGAGGUUUCAGAUUUUUCAGGAGGCAUCCACUCACAUGGAAGAAUAGAGUUUUAUUUUUCUAAGACAUGUUAGGGUGUUUUUAUACCCCUAAUGGCCGAACCUCUCCCUUAAAAUUUAGGUUUAUGGUUUACUUUUUGGAUAAUUUUUCUAAGUCUAUGGAAUGAUUUGUUUGGAUUGGUUUGUUUUGAAUUAAUAAUUAUUUUAUGGAUACUAUUUCUCAAAUUGAUUAAUUGAAUGAAUGGAAUUUUAUUUAUGCAUGUGACCGAUUCAAUUAAUUUAUUUCUAGGUAUGACUAGUGGGGAAGUUAGUUGUUUGGCUGAUAGUGACACCACGCACACCAUAUUGUGUGAGAAACACUGUUUUACUAACUUCAUACCUAAAAAUGCACCUCUGACAACCCUCUCAAGCCAUCUAAUCUGAUAGAAGGAUACAAAAAGCUCGUAUUAUGUUGUCUAAUGGUACUGAAUUAACCAUUAAAGAGGCACUCUAUUCUCCACGUUCCGGCAGAACAUUGCUGAGUUUUAGAGAUAUUCGAGAUAAUCAAUAUCAUAUUGAAACCAUUGAAGAGAAUGGUUAUGAAUUUCUUUGUAUGACUUCUUACGAAUAUGGCCAGAAGUGUAUUCACGAGAAGUUGGAAUGUCCCCCGAGUGGGUUGUACAUAACAACCAUUCGAUCCUUGGAGACACAUCACGCAGCCGACCCUAUGACUGGGUUCCAGAGCACUCUUCUGCUUUGGUAUAAUCGAAUAGGACAUCCAGGAUGAGAUAUGAUGUGUCGUAUCUUUAAAGUAUCACAUGGGCAUUACUUAAAAUCUUAUCAUGACCAUCUGCUUUGUAAAGCAUGCUCCCUGAAGAAGUUGAACAUUCAACCCUCACUUACAAAGAUUAUUCACGACCCUCUUAAGUUUCUUCAGAAGAUUUAAGAGGAUAUUUGUGGACCUAUCCAACCAACGUGCGAACCAUUUAAAAACUUCAUGGUGUUGGUUGAUGCAACGACGCGAUGGUCACAUGUCUGCUUAUUGUCCACACGUAAUGCUGCAUUUGCAAAAACUCCUAGCACAAAUUAUUAAGCUUAAGGCUCACCAUCCUAAUUAUCCGAUCAAGUCGAUUCGACUGGAUAAUGCUAGAGAGUUUACGUCACAGACUUUUGACGAUUAUUGCAUGUCUGUUGAGAUUGAAGUUGAACAUCAUUUACCCCAUGUUCACACCCAAAAUAGCCUGGCAAAAGCUUUCAUAAAGUGCCUUUAAAUAAUAACUUGAACUUUGGUUAUGCAUAUCAACUUGCUGAUAUCUGCCUAAGGCCAUGCAAUAUUGCACGCAGCUAUGUUGGUUCACUUGAGGCCGAUCGCUACCUAACCUCAUUCACCAUUACAGUUGGUUACUGGAUACGAGUCUGAUGUCUCGCAUUGACGUGUGUUUGGGUGUGCAGUCUAUGUGCCAAUAGCGCCACCACUAUGUACCAAAAUGGGUCCUCAAAGAAAAAUGGGAAUCUAUGUUGGUUAUGAUUCACCAUCAAUUAUUUUCUACUUAAAGCCCUUGAUAGGAGAUUUUUUUACCACACGUUUUAUAGAUUUUCACCUCGAUGAGACAGUCUUCAUGUCAUUAGGAGGAGAUAAGAUCACUAACGUUCAUGUAGAACGCCACGAAUUAUCGUGGAUUACUCCAUUAUGUCUCAUUUAGAUCCAUGUACCCUCAGUCUGAAACUGAAGCGUAUCAGACACUUUGGUUCAAAGGAUUCACAACCCCAUAAGAGGAAAAUGGCACAAAUUAGUAACCCUAGUCUAAAUCCGACCAUUGCUUACUCAUAUGUUCCACUACUACAAAAUUAUCUAUAACUGACGGUCCAAAAACCAACAAAAAACGUAUAUUACUGUCGGAUUUUAAGCAAAAUCCGACAGAAAAUAGAUGCAGUGGCGGAUAUAAUAAGCGACAUCAUUGCCAGCAUCAAGAAAUGAAUUUUUCGACAAAAAAUACUCUAAAACGACAGAAAUUGUGUCGGAUAUAACCGAAAGAGAAUAUAUUAAUAAUGAAUAAAUAAGAGCAUUUAUGUUGGCUAAAGCCGACAGAACUUCUGUCGGAUAUAACCGACAGAGAAUUUAUUAAUAAGAAUAAAUAAGAGCAUUCUUGUCGGAUAAAACCGACAGAAAAUAUAUUAAUAAAAAAAAGGAAAGGUUGCGUUCCUCACUUGAACUGUCUUCUGGCAUUGGUAGCAGCAGUAGCUGCAACAGUGAAAUGAAACGCCAGAAAAUGAAGAAGAUGAUGACGGCGCUGAGAGGGAUUGUACCUGAUAGGAAUGAAAUGAACAUCGUCGUUGUUCUGGAUGAAGCUGUUUAGUACUUGAAGGCUCUUAAGAUUGAGCUGUAGAAGAUUAGGGUUGAGAAUUUGAACGACUGAACGUGCACUUGAGCUAUGGUGCUAAUAACGGAAACUCAUCAUUCCCCGCUCUGUUAAACGAAAAAAAGAACAAGUUGUUCAAAUGUGCAAAACCCUAAAAAGAUAAAAGAAGAACAAGUUGUUUGUAAUAGUAACGUGUAUUAGGAAAAGAAAUCAACCUGGUAAGAAGAAGUGAUGAGAAUAUCAGUGCCGGCUUCCAAGUAGUCCACGUGAACCUGAGGAAUUUGAAAAUUUCAACCCAAACCCAACAUUUAUCAGAACAAUUAGACAGAGAGAUCCAAUCAAACAGUGAAGAAAAUGGAGGGAGGGAGAGAGAGAAACAGACAAACAGACCCGUUUGAUGAGGUCGGGUUGUUUGAUAAGGCAGACGGCGCUCCAGAGAUGGUUGUUGAUGGCAGCGCCGUGCCUCUCCAGUUGGGUGGAGCAGCCUCCGUCCACCACAGCACAACCCCUUGCUUUCUUUAUUACAUCCUCCAACGACGAGGUAAUGGCCUUCUUCAAUCUCAUCUCUCUGGCUAUUGUAAGUCUGUAGAGAAUAACAGAGAUUGCAGAGUAAUGUGGAAAGAAGAACAAUAAGGGAAGGAAGGGGGAAGGGAGAAGGCACUGGCACAAGGAAGAGAUGGAAGGGUUUUAUUUUGGAAAAUUUUCAUUACUGUCGGUUAAAACCGACAUAAACAUUUUUAAAAUAUAAACCGACAUAAAUUUUUCAUUAGUGUCGGUUAUAACCGACAAAAAAAAAUGUCGGCAAAAUUCCCUCCCAAAAUUUUGUUACGAUUUUAAAAAAUAAAAUAAUAAUUGUUUUGUUUAAUAAAUAAAUAAAGAAUAUGUAUUUAAAUAGAAUACGCUUUUAAAAAUUAAAUAAAUAAUUGUUUGGUUUAAUUGAUAAUAACCCAUGUAAAAUAUGCAAAAAAGAAACAAAAAGAUAAUUGUACAAUGAAAGUGUCAUCACAUAAACUAAAUAUUGUCUAAACAAUACUUGAAAAAUAUAAAUAAAAAAUUAGCACAAAUUACUUUUCCCACUUCAAAAUUUAGGAAAUUUAACGGAGAUAUGCAUUCUACGAAACCAGUUUCAAUGAUCUAACCGUCAAACUUAUUUGUACACACUCCAAGAUCGCAUACGUAAAAAAUCACAAAAAAAAACAUUCAAAGAUUAGGUAACGGGACAAAAGUUUUCGACAGUUAUAAACGAAAAAUCACAAUUUAACGGUUAUUUUAGCUUCGGUUUUGAUGAUUUAUUUACAGCUACACUCCUCGAUCCUAUAAGAAUGCAAUGAACGAAUUCAAUCUUCAAUUUAAAAUAUUUACACUAGUAGAUACCACAAAAUCUUAUUUUAUACUUGAUGCGGAAGUAUAACAUUAACUCUAAGUGUUUGUUUAAUCUAUCGUUUUGAUGUGAUACGCAUUCUACAAAACUUUUUUCAACGAUCAAACCGUCAAACUUAUUUGUACACACUCCAAUAUCGCAUACGUAAAAAAUCACAAAAAACAAACAUUCAGACAUUAGGUAAUAGAACAAAAGUUUUCGACAUUUAUAAACGAAAAUUCACAAUUUAACGGUUAUUUUAGCUCCGAUUUUGAUAUUUUUUACAGUUACACUCCUCGACCUUAUAAGAAUGCAUUGAACGAAUUCGAUCUUCAAUUUAAAAUAUUUACACUAAUUUUAUACUUAAUGGAAGUAUAAUAUUAACUCUAAGUGUUUGUUCAAUCUACCAUUUUGACGCAUAUGCAUCCUACGAAACUUUUUUUAACGAUCCAACCGUCAAACUUAUUUGUACACACUCCGAGAUUGCAUACAUAAAAAAUUGUAAAUAAAACAUUCAGAAAUUACGUAACGGAACAAAAGUUUUCGACGGUUAUAAACGAAAAAUCAAAAUUUAACGGUUAUUUUAGCUCCGAUUUUAAUGAUUUUUUUACAGCUACACUCCUCGACCAUAUAAGAAUGCAAUGAAUGAAUUCGAUCUUCAAUUUAAAAUAUUUACACUAAAUCUUAUUGUAUACUUGAUGGGGAAGUAUAACAUUAACUCUAGGUGUUUGUUUAAUCCAUCGUUUUGAUGCGAUAUGCAUUCUACAAAACCUUUUUCAACGAUCCAACUGUCAAAUAUGUUUGUAUAUACUCCGAGAUUGCAUGUGUAAAAAAUAACAAAAAAAAACAUUUAGAGAUUAUUCUGGCGGCCAUCCAAAAUUUUGCUUUGAUCGUGUCGGUUAUAUCUGACAGGACCAUGAGUGAAAAAAAUAAUAUUUAAAACAUGUGUUUAUUUAUUUAUUUUUAAUCAUUAUAACAUUUUAAAAUAAUAAAAUAAGACAUGAUAGAGUACACCAGAUGUUCAUGAGUGUUUAUGUGCUAGACAAUGUGCUUUGUGAGCAUUGAAAAAAUUGUUUGAAUUUCUUUGUAUCUUGUUGCUUGCCUGUGAGGGAGCAUAAUUCUUAUUACAAAAAUGAUAAAGCUUUAGAUUGUGAUAUGUUGUUAUUAUUCUCUCAGAAAAUUUAUGGCUCGUGGGAAUUAGGUUCAUUAGACUUUAGGAUCAUGAGUGAAAAAAAAAAUUUUAAUAUGUGUUUAUUUAUUUAUUUUUAAUCAAUAUAGCAUUUUAAAAUAAUAACUUUUUUAUUUCUAUCGGUUAUAACCGCCAGAAUACUAAAAUAAUAACCGCCAAAAAUUAAAAUAAUAAAAUAGUCAAUUUAUGUCAGUUAUAACUGCCACCAUUAACUUAAAAACCGCCAGAAUCUGUCAAAAAUAUUUUUAAAAAAAAGAUUCAAAAUAUUGUCGGUUUUAACCGACAGGAUUUUUUUGAUAUCCACCACUAAAUAUCCGCCAGGAAUUUAUUCAGAUAUAACCGACAAGAUUUUUCUAAUAUCCGCCACCUAAAGCUAAUAUUGUAGUAGUGUUCCAACGCAUGAGGUUAUUCUAGAUUACGGUGAUGUCUUAGAUGAGACGUACCGGCCUCCCAAGAAUCGUGAGAUUUCGGUCCAUUAUGUAGUAUUGGAUGAGGUUUGGAAUCGAAAUGAGAUGAUUGUCGAUGAUGCAUUCACGUAUACAGUUGCUUCCGACAUCAUGCUUAGCAAUGACAUUGAACCACAUUCGUUGAUGAAUGUUGACUUAGAACAGAUUGGUUAAACUGGAAACAAGCAAUCCAGGUCUAACUCAAUUCGCUUGCAAAACGUAAAGUGUUUGGGCCUGUAGCUCCUACUCCACCACAUGUGAAGCUUGUGGGCUACAAGUGGGUUUUCUUGAGGAAGCGUGAUGAGAAAAAUGAAAUAAUGCGAUAAAAAGCAUGUCUCGUAGCGCAAGGCUUCUCUUAACUCUCUGAGAUUGAUUACGAGGAGACAUAUUCCCCUAUAAUGAAUGUUAUAACAUUCCGCUACCUUAUCAGUUUGGUAGUUUCCUAAAAACUAAAUAUGCAACUUAUGGACGUGAUAACCGCGUAUCUCUAUAGGGAUUUAGAUACGAAAAUCUAUAUGAAAGUUCCAAAAUGACUUGCAUUGACUGGUUCAAAUAGUUUUAGACCAUGGAACACUCUCUCGAUUAGAUUGAGGAGAUCACUUUACGAAUUGAAACAAUCCGGGCGGAUGUGGUAUAACCGUCUGAGUGAAUACUUAACAAGUCAGGGUUAUAUGAACAACGAACUAUGCCCGUGUGUGUUCAUAAAGAAGUCAUAUUCCGGAUUUGCAAUCGUUGCAAUUUAUGUCGACGACAUGAACCUUAUCAGAACUCCUUCAGAUCUUGAGGAAAUUGCCGUUCACUUGAAAUCGGAAUUUGAGAUGAAAGAUCUUGGGAAAACUCGAUAUUGUCUCUGCAUGGAGAUCGAGCAAAGUUCAGAUGGAAUCCUAGUACAUCAAUCGAACUACACCCAAAAUGUGUUGCGACAUUUUAAUGAGGAUAAAGCAAAGCUUUUGAGUACUCAUAUGGUCAUUCGGACUCUAGAUGCUAAACGAAAUCCCUUAUGUCCCAAGGAGGAUGAGGAAGAGAUUUUGGAGCCUGAAGUUCCAUUCCUAAGUGCAAUUGGUGCUUUAUUGUAUUUGGCUCAAUGCACUAGACUCGACAUCUUUUUUGUCGUUAAUCUUUUGGCUAGAUACAACAAUGUGCCUACAUGCAGACACUAGAAUUGUGUUAAAGACAUUUUUCUGUACCACAAGGGUAUGACAGAUUUGGGCUUGUUCUACACCCAUGAAUCCUCAAGAGGAGCCGCUUGAUUCCUGCUUCAUUGGUUAGGUAGAUGCUGAUUAUCUGUCCAACCCACAUAUGACACGUUCUCAAACGGGCUAUGUCUUUACUGUUGGAGACACUGCUAUAUCUUGGAGGUCUACCAAGCAAACACUAAUUGUGACUUCUUCAAACCAUGUUAACAUUGUCGCCCUGCAUAAAGCAUUACGUGAGUGCUUUUGGUUGAGAAUAGUCAUGUAACAUAUUUGAAGCACUAGUGGUCUUACCUCCGUCGUUGACUUUCCUACAACGAUUUUUGAAGAUAAUGCAGCAUGUAUCAAACAGUUAAAGAAUGGAUACAUCCAGGGAGACAACACCAAAUGCAUAGUGCCAAAGUUUUUUUAUUCUCACCAGCAACAACAACAUCAGAAUAUUAAAGUCAAGCAAAUUCAUUCCCAGGACAACCUAGCCAAUCUCUUCACCAAGUCAUUGCCCAAGUCUACUUUUCAGAAGCUCGUCCAAGGAAUCAGUAUGCGUAAAUUAUCUGAGUUGAAUUGCUUGCAGUUUUUUUAUUUGGAAGUUAUGUCUAAUUCAAGGGGAGUAUCCAGAAGCAAACUCGUUUGAUCUUAAUGUACUCUUUUCCCUACAAUUAGAAGCAUUUUUCCCACUAGGUUUUUGCUACCUAACAAGGUUUUAAUGAAGCACCCAUCCUGGGCUCCGUUGAGUUCACUACUUUCGUCCUGUUUGAUGUUUGUUUUAGACACUAUGCAUACUUCUCACUUUUCUCCUUAGUCUAUGGGUUUUUACCUACCUUAGGUUUUACCAUAGCAAGGUUUUGUGAGUUUUACUACCCAUGCAUACUUUCUUUUAAAUUUGAGACUUGCAUUCACCUGUUGUGUCGACGACUUCAUCAACUGGUCUACCUCAUCUACUGAAGAUCUGAUCUGAUGUUUUGUUUGAGUAUUUACACACUUAAGGGGGAGUGUUGCAGUCCUAUUAGUUUAGGAAUGUGAUUGUGUAAAUCCUAGUGUAUGUAGGGAUAUCUUGGAAUUUUCCUUUUAGUAGUUAAUAUCAUAUUAGAGUUAUAAUCCUAACAGGGUAAGGAUUUAACCUAUCUUACUACUAUAAAUAAAGGCACAAUAGGGUGAUACAACACACACCUCAAAAUUGCAUCUCUCUCUUCUCUCUCUCUUACAGUCGGCCAUCUCCCUCUCUAGUCCUAAAUAAAGUUUAGUAAAUUAGAAUUACAACAAUUUUUACCAUAUAUUCGUAUCAGUAUUUUAUAUCAUCAAGAAAAUAACUUGGACUAUUACGCAAUCAAAUUUCCCUACCUCCCCAAAACCCAUCCAGCCUUACCCAAUCAACUAGGCUCUAAGGGGUCUCGUCUCCACACACGGGCUCAAAUCACCUAGCCCACUCACUGAGUGGAUCUGAUGUUAGCCUGGUGUCAACCACGUGAACUUUUUUUUUCGACGAGGCGUGAGCGUUAUAUGCACAAAUUCUGGCGAUUGAGCCAACACAAAUACAAAGAUGGGGACUCCGUUGUAGGUGUACUCGACUGAUUACAGGUGGAGGCGACAUGGCUUUGUUUGGGCCCUUGGAUCUCCAAAUGCUAUAUUUCUAGGCCAUUGUAUUUCUAACAGUUAAAAAAAUUGAAUUUAAAAAAUAACGGCAAGUACACGUGGCAAAUUCUGGGCUGUGAGAUAUUUUGACCAACGGUCCAUAUUUUUCGGGCUUAAAAUAAUUUUUUUUUAUAAGUGUUUUUCCUUGAAAGAACAAACUUAAUUAAAAAAGAAAGGAAAAAUCAGAAGAAGAAAAAAAAUCCUAUUGAGCCAAUUUCAUUAGCUUCCAUAAUUUGACCAUGAACAUUAGCGCAAUCAAACAUCCACAUAAAAAAGAAUAAUAAAAAAACAUUAACAAAACUUGAAAAGAAGAAGAAAAAAAAGUCAAAUUAUUCAACCAUUCUCCAGGAACACAUUCAAAGCAUUGAGUCAAUUUGAAUUAGAACUCAAAAGGUUUUUACCCUAUCGUGAGCAUGUGGUAUGAGUUAAGGAAAUGGGGAAGUGAGCAAUACUACUAGACUAUAGUAAGAGCAUCCCUAAUGGGAGCUCUAUCUUUCAUGAUGCUACCAUAUUUAAAGCCCUAGUGAGAAAUUUCAUCUCCAAUGAGCUAGAAAAUGGGGUUAUAUCCACCACAAAGGCUAUCAAUUUCCUUUAUUGGAUAGCAAAAAGUUAGGCUACGUAUAGCCCCAAAAAUUAGUGGGACCCAUAUAAAAAAUGGAGCACAUACUUUUUUUUUUCUUAUUUUUAAUUCAAAAAUGGAGCCCACCAUGUAUCAUAUGAUGCAACAGCUUCGAGGACAAUGAUUGGGUGUCCUUUGUGUCCAGUAUAAGCACCAUGGUAUGCUACUGGACAUUUGAUCCAAUCCCAGUGCAUGCAAUCUAGGCUCCCAAGCAUACCAGGAAACCCUCGUUCCUUAGCUUUUCUCAAAAGUCUUUGCAAGUCACCCUUCGUUGGUUUACGAUGAUAUUCUGGUCCAUAGACGGCGUUGAUGGCAUGACAGAACUUCUUGCAAGACUAUAAAGUUGUUGUCUUUGAUUUCGGAGAAUGUGUCAAUUAGAGAAAUAAACCAACAUAUGAGAUUGAGAUAAGAUAAUUCAAUCUAGUGGUUGUCAUGAAGUGAAAUCUUAUCUUAUCUGAUUGCAUAGAGCAAACAAACGGAUGAGAUUAAGAUAAGAGAACCUAAUCCGACUGUACAUAUGUGAAGAAAUCUAACUUUGUCAGAAUUUGAAUUUUUUUAGGUUCAAAAGUUCAUUAAAAAAAUUAAGAUAACACGCUAAAAAUCAAUUUAAGAAAAAUUAAGAUAAAAAUAAAUUUAUUGCAUAAUCAAAUUACUAUAUAAAUAAAUAUAUAGCUCCAUAUAGAGCCCGAAAGAUAUAUAUCCCCUCAUUAGGAGUGAUUCUUUUAUAAAGCCCCUAAAGAUUCUUCGGAGCUCUAAAAUGAGCUAUAUUUAUCACUUUUUCAGCCCUAUAUAAAGCCUCUCACUGGGAUGCUCUAAGAGUCUAGAAAUCCUAAGGAAAUAAGGAUUCGUAAUCCUACUUGUUUACGUUAAUAUGUUUCCAUUUAUUAUUAUUUCUGAAUCCUGGUUUCAUUUGGAAAUAUGAUCCUACCCUAACAAGGAAACACGCGCAUAUAAGUGGUCUAUAUAAACGCUAUAUGCCUACCUCAAGUAUUUCAGAUUUAUCUAUUGCUUCAUUCGCCUUCGGAAGAACUACAGUAGCUCAAACACUACUAAUUCGAUCGUGUGUUAAUUAGUUUCUGGUUAAUUUUCUUUAUUUCUCUUCGUGAUCCACCUAUGGAAGCUGUAAGUGAUCGGCAAGUGGUGGGAUACCAUUGCGAAUCGAAGCAGGCGGAGGUUUUUGAACCUGACAACGAAUUGCCAUGGACCCAAUUCUUGCUGGGUGUCGAUGCCAGAAUAUUGACAAGUCAGCCUGCCUUGCAUUCCGAGGACGACGACGAUUCACUUCCAGUAGAAGAAACCUACUUCGACGAACUCGAACUCGAUUUGUUGAUGGAUGAAGACAAGUCAAGGGCUGCCCUAGCUGAGGCCCUGGUUUCUAGCCUGCAUGUCCCUCCUCAGAUUUGCCACUCCGUGGUGGAUAAAAUAGUACAAGAUUUCCUAGUCGCAGAAACUGAUUCUCGACCUUACAGUGAUCGCAUGCUUGUUCAUAUGCCAGUGUCCAUCGUUGUUCUUGUCGAUGAAUUUGGAGGCCUGGACACGGAUGACCCUAAAUUUGUACCUGCAAGUAAGUCAUCGAUCGAGAAGCUGGAAAGGGUGAGAGUGGAAGUAUCAGCAGAUUGUUCAAUUUGCAUGGAGGAGAUGGAGGUUGGUUCGGAAGCAAUCCCCAUGCCGUGCUCGCGCUCGCAUCUUUACCACGACGACUGCAUUCUCGAGUGGUUGAAGAAAAGUAGGGUUUGCCCACUGUGCCGCUUCGCCAUGCCUCCCGAAAUAAUAACAACACAAAAUUAAGUGAUUAAUUUGGCCAAUGAGGGCUUUUGCUUCACGAUUCGCUCAACAUUAAUUGUUUUGUUUUGAUGAUAUCUAUUAAUCCAUUUGUAAGUUUGUGUAAUUAAUGUAAAAGUUUGAUCAGUUACUUGUUUCUUGAGUCUACAUAUAUGGAAUUAAAAUUCUUUUUCUUAUCUUUUAUGGAAUGGUGGCUAUAUGUUCUUUGUCCAAUCUAGGAUAUGAUCCAAAAAGAUAAAACGAAAUCAAGCCGACAAAAACAAAAAUCAAACAUGAAACAGUGUCAUGUCGCUCAACAAAUACGUUCAUGUGACUGAUUUAGGAUUUGUUCCUUAUUUUAGAUUUUGUGUUAUUCCUUUAGUACUACAUCAUAUAUGCUUCGAGUUGUGAGUUUACUUGAUUGUGGCCACGGACAAGUGAAAUUCCUCAUAAUCUCUCUGGUCCUAAAAAUAAUGGAUAACCGUGGCAUGCCACCAGUUGUCAUUUUUUUUUAAUAAAAAAGAACUCUAUCAUAGAUGGAAGUUUAGUUAAGAGCCGCAACUCCACCAUUAAGGAAAGGAAACAUUUAUGUUUAGAGAGAUUAUUUCCUUCGGAACAAAAUAUAUGUAUUCAUCAUAAAUUGUAUGUGAUUUAACUCCAACAUUUGUAUGGGUAAAUUGAGAAAUGAAAAGUCUGCAAUCAACUAAACUAGUCUCUCAGUGCUACGGUCUGGUGGUAUUCUUUUCACUUGGAAGUGAAAUGUAUUAGAUUCGAACUCCCCUUUCCCUUAGUGUAAAAAUAUCGAUGUACUAAAAAAACUAAACCCAAACACAACCAGUAUUGGCUAGUUUGUUAUUGGCGUAGCUCUUUUCAAACACCCAGAACAUAAGACGGUACAACAUGUGUCAUGAUAUAAGUGAAUAAACGAUAUAAUUUUCAGUUUUUUUCACCUGAUUCUGAUAGGUGAGUAACCUUGUGUUCGAAGUACAGUAAAAAUUUUCUCACGUUGAAAGGGUUUUAAACCGUGGACUUGACCUACUCUUGUAAAUUGUUUAUUUAACAGUGAAUCAUAAUAUUUGGAGGCUAUAUUUAAGAACAAUGUUAAUCAAUUAAUUAUGUAAGAAACUAGAAUUUUUGUGAUAAAAAUAAAUAAAUAAAAAUCCCAACGGCUUCGCGUCUUCCUUUUUCCUACCCCAGGACUCUCUCCAUCCUAUUCCUUUUUCCAACCCCAACCCCAACUAAGACCCUUUGAAUUCUACAAAUAUCCCACACAUUAUACCGCUCAUUCUUUCUGCUGAUGGUGGUCACUACGGAGGAGACCUGGGAGGUUCUGGGCGACGUUUACUGCAGCACGAGGCUGCUCGGUGUUUCUGAAAUCCCGAAAAUGGAGGACGACUUGAAAUCCAAGUUGUGGUUGGACGUUAAGGCCAAUGUUACGGUGAUGGUGCUGCCGAGGAUCUUAGAGGACGAGGAGGAUUUGGGGAACCACUACAAAGUCAUGCUUUUAGAAGAUAUUGAUCAAAUGGGGAAGAGCAUCGACAGCAUUGAUUUUGAGGACAAACUUGAGAUUGACCUAGACAAGACCGCCAUGUCGCCGGCCGCUUCCAAAGCCGUCUCUCGCGCGCUUUCUGGCCUGAUCAACGUCCCUUUGCGGACUCUUUUGUCCGUGGCCGAUACAAUCGUGUGUGAGGCCCUACGUGCUAGGGCAAGGUGUACCAGUCUUGUGCACAUGGAGGCACUCAUCAAAGUUGAAGUGGUUGAGGAGUCGGAUGAUGAUGGUAUGAACGUAGAGCCAGCGUUUGUACCUGCAACAAAAUCUUCCAUUGACAAGUUGGAGGGUAAGAGCGGAAGCCUCAUCGGGGUUUUGCUGUUCUAUUUGUAUUUCGGAGAUUGGAGUGGGUACUGAAGGACUUCGCAUGCCGUGUUUGCAUCUUUACCACGAGAACUGCAUCGUUGAAUGGUUGGAGACGAGCAGGUUCUGCCCGUUGUGUCGAAAUUUGAUGUAUUCAUUUGUUAAUUUGUGUUAUAAGAUAUUCUCCCCUAUUGUUUCUUGAGUCCAACUCUCAAUUGGUUAAACAAAUUCUCCUUCAACUGAAAACACUGCUGAACUACUGGGGGGAAAUGGUAAAAAAUGGAACGAUAGGGACUUAAUGUUAAAUCAGGCCGAACUACAAGGACUAAAAUUGCAAUUUGUCCUAUAAAAAUUUGACAACCUAAUUUGACCUAAAAAGGACUUUACAUAUUUAACAACAAAAUUCAUGUUUAAGGAACUUACCGUUCCUGCAGACCUAGGGCUUAACAGUAAUGCAGUGCACAUAGUCAUCUCUACAACCAACAAAAAUUCUGCCUCCAAUCAUCACAGGUGAAGAGAAUACGUCUCCUCCGAGGUCCAGUCUUGCAAAUUCCUCAACAUCCAUUCGUUGAUUUGCAACUUUGGCAGCACCCGAGUUAACCCGGAGCAAGUACACGCUUCCUGAGCUGGAACAGACACAAACCAACCUGGAAAAGGUUGUGGAUAGAUAUGAAAAUGAUCACUUAAUGUUCAUGUUAUUUAAAGUCUUCUGCAGUUAUUUACCUGUCCGGCAAGUUAGGCGGAUCAGAUGCCAAGCUCAAGUGCUCAUCCACAUAAGCGGAUGAAGUAAUCGGAUCCUUAACAUUGUAUUCCCAAAGUAAAUCUCCAGUUUCCUACAGCAAACAUAGCAGUGUUGAACGUGCAGUACAAUAUACUGAAUAUGAACAAAUUAUGCUCUUUCUUUUACAGAAUGUUAGGAAAUAGGGUGAAUCCAGUAUAAUUAAGCAAUCAGUACCAAUCUGUUUUCCAAACUAUCUUUCUGAAUAAAAUUAAAACCAGCAAGUUUUGCAAAUUCAGAAGAGUGAAUGCAAACUGCCUAUCAGCCCUAUCAGAUUCUAUUAAGAGAACAAAAUGGACAAAUUCCAAUUUGCUCGUGUUUUUAUGCCAAACAGUAAAAACAGGCCAUUUAGAAAAUUUCCGAGAUUAUGAAACACAAAACUUGUAAUGAAUAUAGGACCGCUGGUUCAUGAGAUUAUUGGAUUAUUUACUCGUACUAACUUAUUUUCUCGUCCAUAUUAAAAAUUUCAGGUCAUUUAUCAAGUUCUGUGACAUUAUACUUAUAGAUCUCAGCUUGUAGUUCAUGCGAGCCAUUAAAUUUGAAAUCCAAUUAAAACUGUGUAUUAGGAACACUACCAGACUCAAAUUGAGACAAAGCAUUGUAACUAGAUUGUCGUAAACUAGUAGUAUUACCAGAAAUUAUUUAUUAUAAAAAGGUUGCUUAGAACAGAUAAAAUUCUUCCAUUCUUUAGGAGCAAUAAAAUAUUACACUCGCAUUUGCCUAAUCGAGUAGAACGCCACUCGGUGCUCAUCCUACAACUGGCCUUGCCUAUAGUUAUAGUGUUGAACACACAUAAGUAGAGGUUUUGUUGUCCUUACAAAGGUUGUCAAAGACUGGGGCUUUGCACUUCGCAACCCUAUCCGAGUAUGUGCUUAGUGCAACUUUUAUGGUUAAGCCACAGCAUAAGAUUCGAAAUUGGAAAUUCAAUCAUUACAGAACAGAAAAGCUAUCAAUGGUUAUGCCAAAAUUACUAAAAGCAUGCAGAUUUUCAUCCAAACAUAUACUGCACCUUACCAGUUUAAGUGAGUAGAUGCUUCCAUCUCUAGAACAUACGAGUACCUACAGAAUAACCAAGACAAAACAAUCUUUAUAAGAAAAAUACGUUGUUCAAUACGACCUAGGCUAAUUCCAUAUGCAGUGUGGGCAGGGACAUCAUGAAUUAACAUGUAAAAACAACAAAAAACAGAAAAUGCCUGAAAUUGUUAAUCAGAUUUUGAAUAAAUAUUUGAAUAAAAAGGUCUAGCCCUACAUAGCAUACCCAAACACUACAGCAAUAAAACAUAAGCAUGCGAUUAAUAUUUACCCUCACUCCUAUGUUACUUACAUUCACUUAAGAAUUAAGCGAACAUUCUUACACUAUCCAGAUGGGGCCAAUUAUAACGAUAAUUAGCUUAUUUGAACAGGACCUCAGCCCUAAGGUUUUAAUCUCUCUGUUAAGAUCUCUUUUGCUGCAAUGAAAUUAAAAAGAAGGUUGAUAUCUAUUUGGUAGUUACAAUAAUUACAAUCACAGGUGUGCCGUAAUCUUGUGACAACCAAAGUCGAAGGGUAUAAUUUUUGUGAGGAUGGAAAGGUUCUUGCUACAGAGAACGCGGUUAAAGACAGAUGGAGAGGUUAUUUUCAUAAUCUUUUCAAUGAAGGACAUGAAAUGAGUGCUUCUUUAGGGGAGUUGAGUAACUCAGAAGAGUGUAGAAACUACUCUUUUUAUCGUCGAAUCCGGAAGGAAGAAGUGGUUGUAGCUUUGAAGAAGAUGAAGCAUAAAAAAGCAAUAGGCCCAGACGAUAUACCAAUCGAAGUGUGGAAACUUUUGGGAGAGACAGGUAUAACAUGGCUCACUGACCUUUUCAAUAGGAUUUUGAAAACGAAGAAGAUGCCAAAUGAGUGGCGAACGAGCACUUUGGUGCCUAUUUACAAGAAUAAGGGCGACGUACAAAAUUGCAUGAACUAUAGGGGUAUUAAGCUAAUGAGCCAUACAAUGAAGCUCUGGGAGAGAGUCAUUGAGCAUAGAUUGAGGCAAGAGACACAUGUUUCGGACAACCAAUUCGGGUUCAUGCCAGGGCGCUCAACCAUGGAGGCAAUCUAUCUCUUACGAAGAUUGAUGGAAAGAUAUAGAGAUGGGAAAAAGGAUUUACACAUGGUCUUUAUAGAUUUGGAAAAAGCGUAUGAUAGGGUCCCAAGAGACAUUCUUUGGAGGAUUUUAGAGAAGAAAGGAGUACGAGUAGCAUAUAUCCAAGCUAUAAAGGAUAUGUAUGAAGGAGCAAAGACUGCCGUAAGAACUCAUGAAGGACAAACCGAAAGCUUUCCCAUAACUGUAGGAUUACAUCAAGGCUCAUCCUUAAGUCCUUACCUUUUUUGCGUUGGUAAUGGAUGAGUUAACAGGACAUAUUCAAGAUGAUAUUCCUUGGUGUAUGCUUUUCGCAGACGAUAUAGUGUUGAUAGAUGAAACUCAGGAAGGGGUAAAUGCAAAGCUUAACCUUUGGAGAGAAGUGUUGGAAUCUAAAGGUCUUCGCCUAAGCCGAUCAAAAGACAGAAUAUAUGGAGUGCAAGUUCAGUGCAAAUGGAGGCCAAAACGAGUUAGGGGUGAGGAUCGGAGAUCAAGAAAUACCAAAGAGCGACCGUUUUCGUUACCUAGGAUCUAUCUUGCAAAAGAACGGAGAAUUAGAUGGAGAUCUCAACCAUAGAAUACAAGCUGGAUGGAUGAAGUGGAAGAGUGCAUCCGGCGUGUUGUGUGACCGCCGUAUGCCACUGAAGCUCAAGGGAAAAUUUUAUAGGACGGCAAUAAGGCCGGCGAUGUUGUAUGGCACAGAAUGUUGGGCGGUGAAACAUCAACACGUACACAAAAUGGGUGUAGCGGAGAUGAGGAUGCUUCGUUGGAUGUGUGGGCACACGAGAAAGGAUAAGAUUAGGAAUGAGGAUAUCCGGGGUAAAGUAGGAGUAGCCGAAAUUGAAGGAAAGAUGAGAGAAAAUCGGUUACGGUGGUUUGGACAUGUGCAAAGAAGGCCUACUGACGCUCCGAUUAGAAGAUGCGACUAUGGGACAGAGGUUCAGGGCCGAAGGGGUAGAGGAAGACCUAGGAAAACUUUGGAAGAGACUCUAAGAAAAGACUUAGAAUACUUGGAUCUAACGAAGGACAUGACACAGGAUCGAGCACAAUGGCGUUCUAAGAUUCAUAUAGCCGAUCCCACUCAGUGACUUGGACUUUCCAAGUCUCCAACCGAGAAGUUUUCCUCACUCGGGAAAUUAAGGGAACACUACCCUAACCUACAUGCUCCACUCAGAAAGCUUCAACAUACAAGCUUCAACAAAAGAAAAUUCAAAAGAACUUAGCGAAGAAGGCUUUGGUGUAUUUAACACAAUACGUUGAAAUGAAGGAAAGCUUAUUUAUUGAUAUCCCCGAUAAGCUACAAAUAUGUACAUAUACAUGAGUCAAAAUAAACACACAAGUGGGAGCCUUCACAAAGGUUGCUUAGGAGAAGUCUCAGCAGUCGGUAGAGCCCCAGAAAGAGAAGGCACCGGAGGGGGAUCAUUUGGAGCCUCAGUACUGGACAGAACCCUAGAAGGAGGAGGCAUCAGAGGUUGAUCAUUUGGAGCUUCAUUACGCGGUACAGCCCCAGAAGACGAAGGCAAUAAAUGCCUUUGGAACAAACCCACAAAUCUCUGAUGAUCAAGUAAAACCUGACCAUCAGUUUCCUUCAUCUGGUCAAGCUUCCUCUUCAUGUUUGUAGCAUAGUCAUGUGCGAGCCGGUGCAACUGUUUAUUCUCAUGCUUGAGCCCUCUAAUCUCCUGUUUGAGACUCAUCACUUCAGCCGCCAAUGAUUCAACUUGGCGGGUUCGAGCAAAUAGGCGUUGGGCCAUAUUAGACACAGAACCUGCACACUGAACACUGAGAGCCAGCGAAUCCUUAACAGCUAACUCAUCAGACCGUUUGGAAAGUAGUCUGUUAUCUUUGGGAGUGAGAAGGUUCCUGGCCACCACCGCAGCGGUCAUAUCAUUCUUCAUCACGGAAUCCCCAACGGUAAGAGGACCAGUUGGGGAGACGAAGGAUGGGCGCCAUAUGUUGUCUGGAGAAGGCGGGGCUGCCUCUUCAACAAGGUUCAAGUCAAAACGACGGUCGGAGGGGCCAGACAUUUUCAAAGGUGUUGAAGAGAGAAGAGGUCGGACAAAAUCAAGAUCUUAGAAGUGCAAGAAUGAAGCUUCUACUGGUGGAGAUUCAAGUGUGCUUUGGAACUUAAUGCCAGCCCCUAUAAAAAUCUGCACUCGACGGAACUUCAGAAAUCGAAGAGGCGCCUGCUCAGAAAUCGAAGAGGCGUUUGCUUUCUCAAAAGUUGGGCUGCUUAGAGAUCACGAGGGUUGAUCUCAGAAAUCGAAGAGGCGUUUGCUUUCUCAAAAGUUGGGCUGCUCAAAGACCACGAAGGCCGAUCUCAGAAAUCGAAGAGGCGCUCGCUUUCUCAAAAGCUGGGCUCCCCAGAGACCACGAGGGCCGAUCUCAGAAAUCGAAGAGGCACCUACUUUUCCAGCCUUGUCAGCACCUGUCACACGCACACUCAGCUUUGCGGAAAUUAUGGGCAUUCUGUCAAAGACUUCUGGGGAAGUAGUCCCACACGCAACAAUAGCUCAUGGGUACCACAGAUAACUUUGCCAAAGUUCUCUGCCAAAGUUGAGCACGUGAAGCUUGCAGCUCCCACUACACCGCUCUGACCAAGAAGGGUAAAAGAAUAGCAAAGAAACAGCACUAACAAAGUUUAGACCCAUAAAUUUUGAAGGUCUAGCUACCAUAUUAUUACCCACAAGGGUAAAGGAACAGUACCACUGUUGGAUAAUUGAAAAGUCCCUGUGUGUCAACCUCUGUGCUUCGUGGCAAGGUAGACUAGCAAACAUGCCCAACCUUUACUCACAUUCGAGAAAACACUCCCAACAAGAUUGCUUGCUCCAAAAUCGAAGAGGCACCGCCCUCCGAAUCUCGAGAGCCACUCUCCCAACAUGAUUACUUUCUCAAAAAUCGAAGAGACUGCUCCCCGAAUCUCGAGAGCCAGACCCCCAGCAUGAUUGCUUUCUCAAAAAUCGAUGAGGCAUCGUUCUCCGAAUCAAUUGAAGAGGCGCUCGCUUUCUCAAAAGCUGGGCUGCUCAGAGACCACGAGGGCCGAUCUCAGAAAUCGAAGAGGCACCUACUUUUCUAGCCUUGUCAGCACCUGUCACACGCACACUCAGCUUUGCAGAAAUUAUGGGCAUUUUGUCGAAGACUUCUGGUGAAGUAGAAAGCACAUGAAUCUUACUGUUGAAUCACCCACUUCCCACACGCAACAAUAACUCAUGGGUACCAUAGAUAACUUUGCCAAAGUUCUCUGCCAAAGUUGAGCACGUGAAGCUUGCAGCUCCCACUACAUCGCUCUGACCAAGAAAGGUAAAAGAAUAGCAAAGAAACAGCACUAACAAAGUUUAGACCCAUAAAUUUUGAAGGUCUAGCUACCAUAUUAUUACCCACAAGGGUAAAGGAACAGUACGGAUAAUUGGAAAGUCCCUGUGUGUCAACCUCUGUGCUUCGUGGCAAGGUAGACUAGCAAACAUGCCCAACCUUUACUCACAUUCGAGAAAACACUCCCAACAAGAUUGCUUGCUCCAAAAUCGAAGAGGCACCGUCCUCCGAAUCUUGAGAGCCAGACUCCCAACAUGACUACUUUCUCAAAAUCGAAGAGAGGGUAAAGGAACAGUACCAUUGCUGGAUAAUUGGAAAGUCCCUGUGUGUCAACCUUUGUGCUUCGUGGCAAGGUAGACUAGCAAACAUGUCCAACCUUUACUCACAUUCGAGACAACACUCCCAACAAGAUUGCUUGCUCCAAAAUCGAAGAGGCACCGCCCUCCGAAUCUUGAGAGCCAGACUCCCAACAUGAUUACUUCCUCAAAAAUCGAAGAGACACUGCUCUCCGAAUCUCGAGAGUCAGACCCCCAUCAUGAUUGCUUUCUCAAAAAUCGAAGAGGCAUCGUUCUCCGAAUCUCGAGAGCCAGAUACCACAGACCACUUUUUCAAAGUGCUCUGACAGAGUUAAAACAUGUGAAACUGGCAGCUCCCACUACCGUGCUAUGACCAAGCAGGGUAAAGGAAUAGCAUUACUACUUGUUGUUAGGGAGACUCCUCUAUAUGUCGACCUCCAUCCCCAACGGACAGGCAGACCUGCAAAAAUGCUCAACCCUUCAUCAUAUCUGAGAGGGCACUCCCAACGAAGCCUUUCGAAAUAUUCAGCUUUCUUUCCCCCCGAUAAUACCUCUACAAACAAGCUAUACUAGAGCAAGAAUAUCUCAUAUCAUCAGGGUUAAAAGCAAGAGUAUCCCAUAUCAUGCUUUUUCCCUGUCUUUUCUUUUGGCCUUGUUUUUACCUGCAAGACAAGGAGAAAGAGAGCAAUCAGUCAGCACUUGGAAUCAAGCUUCCAGCCAGGAAGUGACUGCCUGGAACCCCUUACCUGAUUACUUACCUGGCAUUGCUCUCGAGUACUCAUCUUCAACAUCUUAUGUUUCCAGGGAAGAUUCCGCAUCUGCUUGAGGAACAGAUAGGGCAAGUGCGAAGGAUACAAGGAAGCAUGUGGAGACAAGCGUAACAGCACACGUGCCGAUACAUCCAUUACUCUGUCAAAAGCAAAAGUAUCCCAUAUCAGCAGGGUGGAACGUACUCUAGAUUUGAUGGACUUGUUUUGACCCUCAAAUUCUUCAGUCGGCCUUAUACUCUUGAGGAAACCAGAAAACCCUCCAGCUCAGUUCAAGAAUAAGCCUGUGGAAAGUUACUUCUUCAAAAGCAAAAGUAUCUCAUAUCAUCUCUUCUCAUUUUUCUUCUCUUUAUCCUUCAUGCUGCUGCAAGAUGGGGAGAAGGUGAACAAUCAGUCAGAGCUCUGAUUGCUUACCUUGUCUGUCACCGUCACCUCUUUCAGCAGACCCCCUAGCUCGGCGACUUGGGAGACUCCUACUACAUGGUUUGUAUCGCGCUUGACCAAGCCUGAAACUACAAGUAAGCUUCAAGUGAAAUUGAUACAUUACCUUGUGCAUCUCCACCAGUUAAAGAUACCACCCCUGAUGGAGGAAGAGUACUUCCAGAGAAGAUGCCACAUCUACCUAUGAGACAGAUAAGGCAAGUCAAGACGACACCACACUCCGAUACUUAGAAGUUUCGUGAUUACGAGAUCAUCCUCCCACAAUAUUUCCUAAUGUCAUUUGUACUAAAUCAUUCACUUGUACUCACUAAAGGAGAGCUUGAACCUAUGUACUUGUGUAAACCCUUCACAAUUAAUGAGAACUCUUCUAUUCCGUGGACGUAGCCAAUCUGGGUGAACCACGUACAUCUUGUGUUUUGCUUUCCUAUCUCUAUCCAUUUAUAUACUUAUCCACACUAAUGACCGGAGCAAUCUAGCGAAGAUCACAAAAAAGCGACCGUUUUCGCUACCUAGGAUCUAUCUUGCAAGAGAACGGAGAAUUAGAUGGAGAUCUCAACCAUAGAAUACGAGCUGGAUGGAAAGAGUGCAUCCGGCGUGUUGUGUGACCGUCGUAGGCCACUGAAGCUCAAGGGAAAAUUUUAUAGGACGGCAAUAAGGCCAACGAUGUUGUAUGGCACAGAAUGUUGGGUGGUGAAGCAUCAACACGUACACAAAAUGGGUGUAGCGGAGAUGAGGAUGCUUCGUGGGAUGUGUGGGCACACGAGAAAGGAUAAGAUUGGGAAUGAGGAUAUCCGAGGUAAAGUAGGAGUAGCCGAAAUUGUAGGAAAGAUGAGAGAAAAUCGGCUCCGGUGAUUUGGACAUGUGCAAAGAAGGCCGACUGACGCUCCGGUUCGAAGAUGUGACUACGGGACAGAGGUUCAGGGCCGAAGGGGUAGAGGAAGACCUAGGAAAACUUUGGAAGAGACUCUAAGAAAAGACUUAGAGUACUUGGAUCUAACAGAGGACAUGACACAAAACCGAGCGCAAUGGCGUUCUAGGAUUCAUAUAGCCGACCCCACUUAGUGGGAAAAGGCUUUGUUGUUGUUGUUGUUGUUGAUGAGAAUGUUUAGCAGACUCAAGAAAUGAUAGAUACUUUAUGAUUUCGCAACAGAACAUUAACUCCAUAGUAUAUGCAUAUAAAAAUAUGCAUACCACACAUACAUUAUAUACAUAUAUGUAUACAGGUAUUUAUACCUGCAAAGGAAGAUCAGAAGAUAUGCAGGCUCCAGCAAAUAUAGGCCCAGCAGUUCGAUACUGUUAAAAAAUAUUCAAAAAAAAGAUGCAGGAUCAAGAAUUGCAACUCAAGCAAAACAUGUAUGUUAGAGGACUAUAAGUCUAGAACACAUUGACAAAGAACUGCAUCACUGUACAUCCAUGUCCUUAUCUAACAGAGAACUACAACCAGGUGCAAUUGUUUGGAGACGACCAAACACAGAAUUAAAACACGCUAUUUCAGAGAUUCAUGAGUGUGCUAUUUCUAAUGAGUCAUAGUUAGUAAUGCAUGGGAUGGAAUGUAGAGUUCAACUUAAAAAAAAUGAAAAUUGAAGGUUUAAAAAUUUCAGUAUGUACAGGUAUAAUAUAACAACAACAACAAAGCCUUUUCCCACUAAGCAUGUACAGGUAUAAUAUAACAUAAUAAAAAAUACAGGUAUAAAGCAAGAUAUAUUUUUUUAUUCCAAGUCAAUUUCACAAUAAAAAUACAAAUUUAAAAGAAAAUAACCAAGCAAAAAGGAUAGAAUGUCUUGGGAUUAGAGAAAAGGUUUCUGUCAUGCAAUAUAAUAUGGGUAGUGCUAUCCACACACCCAUUUUUACCUCUCACAACCACUCUCAAUUUCCGGCUGCUAGAUCGAAUGAAUUGAAGAAGAUCUAUGGACAAAAAUUAACAAAGGUGUGUGGAAGGUAACAUGUGUGUGUGAACAGCACUACCCUAUAAUAUUAUGAAAAAAAAAAUCCAUAUGGGUAUUAAAAGCGUAAUAAAAUUGUACCCUCCAAAUAACAGAUCCACUUGUAUCCAAUGCAAGCACCUGACCAUCCACCAAGCCACAUAUAACUGUAGUUAAGAAAAACACAUAAGAAAUGUAAAACAUAAUAACAACCAAUUCCAACGAUAAAAUGAGACCAACUUUCAUAAAUGAAAAAGGAUAACAUCAAAUGAACUGCACAUACUAUUUCCGUUCAAAGAAUUGAUGGCAAGAGACCCAAACACUGGAGCUUCUAACUCAUGCCGCCACAUACUAGAAAAUGGGAGUGCCUGAAUGUGAAUAGAUUACCCAAAACAAUAAUCAGCUUGCAGGCCAAAAAAUAUGCUACUUGAAUAAAUCAAAACACGUUUACUUCUUUUACCAAAGAAGGUUAGUUGGGAUGAAACAAGCAGAAUAGCAUAAAUAUGAGAACCAAUAAUAGUUGAACAUAAAAUUUGUGCUAAAAUGGGAAGAACUUUUGGGCAAAAUAUCUCUCAGAAACUAAGACAUUGAAAUCCUGUCACCAUGUAUUAGUAAUCACAAUACAUGAUAUGAUGCAAGCACAUCAUUAGAUAAGUUCUAACUCUAGGUAUUAAUUGGGCCAAUUGGAGGAACUGGCAUGGUAGACCACUAGGUCUACCAGUUGUCCCCAGAGGGGAAGACUUUGGGGCCACCUUUUCCUCUUAUUGGUUUUCUUUUUCUUUUAAUCCUACUCAGUUUAUUCUCAUUAUGUUGAACACUUUAUAGUGUCCGUUUACUUUGAGAAGCAAAAUGACAUAGAAACAAUCAUAGCCCUGAAGGCAGUGGCACCAAUUACUAUUUAUGUAGGUAAUUGUCAUAUAGGGCUAUUUAAUAUGAGGAGUAAAGGUAACAUUGAAGCUAAUAGUCAUGCAUUUCUAGCAAUAUUCUACAUUCUGAAGCUUUGUUUGGGUAUACAAACAAGUUUUCAACCUCAUAGUGUUCUUUGAAGAUAUUUCAAUUCUCUGAUUCAGCAUGUUCAAGUCCGCUCACAAACACAACAUUCACCCUUUAAAAGGUAUAACAAUAACUAUAAGAUAAGCCAUGAAAUUUUGUAUACCAUUAUUGAUAUAGCUGUCAUUCGGCCACUCGUAGAAGCCACAUAAAGUAUGUUAUUGGUCUGAAAGAAAGAUUAGUAGAAGAAAAUCAAAUUUACUGACAUGUACACAAAAUAUCACAGUUUACUGUCUGACAAGAGUUCAACUAUUUACUGGGAGUGGCCAAUUGAACAGACACCCAAAAGAAAGAUAAAAAUUCCCACAAGUCCAGUUUUUCCACCUGAUCAUCUGAAACCUCUUAUUUCUUUCCAACCAAACAACCCCUGAAAAGUCUCCACCAGCAAGAAAUAACAAUUCCAAGCACAAAUCCCACUAAUCCAAGUAAAUUCAACAAUCAAGCCAGAUUUCUGUUCUGAAGGGGCAACUCAGAAAGAAAAGAAUAAAAUAGAAUCAACUAAAACAAUAUAUGAUCAGCACUCUACCCUCCCAUUUGCACAAAACAUACAAAUGUGGACAUGGACAUGCAUGCAUCCAGUUUUUUUUUCCUGGAGCAUGUUACAAGAUUUACUAUCCCAUGGGCCACCAAUCAAGCGCUGACUUUCACUUUCAUAUGAAAACACUUGAUCAAAACGAUUACUUAUCAAAUAUGACAAAAUAAAUAAAUCCAAAAGCAAGACUAGGACAUAAUCGUUCAUCAAACUGACCAAGAUUCAUGAAACAAAACUGAAUUGAAGGAAACAAGGGAGAGAGAGGUCACUUAAAAUUUCAAAACAUAUUUAAACAUCUGCGAAUAAACCAAGCAAACUGCAGUAAGAGAGAGAGAGAGAGAGAGAAAGAGAGAGAGGUCAUUUAAAAUUUCAACAACAUAUUUAAACAUCUGCAAAUAAAACAAGCAAACUGCAGUAAAAUUUCCCUGGAGAAGAAUUAACGAUUUACUUAAAAAUAAUAAAUUCCAAAACUCACCUCAUCAAUUACGGGUGACCCAUAGAUGCUCCCACCACAUGGAAGUUGAUAUACACAGCAAUGAUUUUUGUAAUCAAGAGCAUAUAAGUUAUGGUCAUAUGAUCCACACCUGCAGAAAUUUUGUUAUAGAUCAAUCUCUGUUUUGUUUUCCCUCUUCCAACAUAAUAGAAACAAAUACAAAGUCAGAUUACGUUCUGUAAAUAACGUAGUAAACAGAAACUUUUCACCACCCAAAACAAGUCUUAAAAUCACAAUCAUCCCUUUUCUUUUGGUUGCUUCACAAAUAGUUUUCAGGGAGAACUCUAUCUGCAACCAAAUAUUUAUUCUACCCAAAAUGUUGCAGACCAUACAUAAGUUCACAGUUCCCUUCCUUCCUCAGUUCUUUUACAUCAGAAUGGUUGUUUACAUGAACAGUUCACUUUGUGAGUCCAACGUAUAUAGUGGCACGUUUAUAAAAAGGAUUUCCAAGCAUGAAUAAAACAGAACAUGAAAAAAAUUGUCUUCUGAUUCCAUGCAUUAUAAAUGGAAUAGUUAGUCUGUGGACACAAUUGAUCCAAGAAAUACAAUGUUCAGUUUAUUGGAAUUAAAAAGCAAGAGGAGUCAGAAAUUUUACCAGAUCAAUUGUCUCCGACUGUCUAUGACGGGCUGUGACUUUACCUUCAUAUUGAAAAUACAUCAACCGUGAGAGAAGAUAAAGAAUGAAAAUGGAUCAAAAUGCAAAUGAAAUGGGGAUUAGAAAUAAAUAUAAAACAACAAAACAACAUCAACAACAGGUUAGAACAACCCUACCUCACCAGAUGUUUGGAAAGUCCAGCAGAUGUUACCAGUCAAAGAAUCAAGGAAAUAUAUUUUCCCUCUGUAGCAUCCAACUACAACCUAAUGAAAUACCCCAUUUGAGAAUCAUAAACAUGUCCCAUGGAGCUAAUCUACAGAUGAUUUAUGAAGUUAAAAGCACACAAAGUUAUGUCAAAUUAAACCUGUGUAAAGUCAUCAAGAGUUGCUGCUGAACAUUCCACGCGUCCUUCUAGUUGUACCUCCCACUGGACAGAACCACUAGAGAAAAUAAUGUAACAAUACAAAACCCGAAAGAAAAAUAUUUCAAGCUGUUCUAGAGGAACGCCUAAGCUGUUAAAGGUUUCUUCUGUGUUCAAUUAAACCACUAAGGAAUAAUAUACUCAUAGCAUAUUAUGUAAAUAUCCCGUCUCGAAUGAAGGAUAUGACUGUUAAUACUGACAGAGAAUAGAAAGAUUCCAAAGAUGAGCAAAUAUCAAAUCUAUCAUGUGGUGAAUUAAACAAUAAAAUGCCUCCGGAAUUCUCUAAGAACUAUGCCAUUUAUAUUUUGCAUUCAGAAACAAUGAUAUGUGCCUUACCUUCUGGCAUUAACACACAGAAAUUUUUGUGAGUGUGAUCCAAUAAAUAAGUAGAUAUCCUGAUCUUUGUGAACAAUAAGUGGUGAUGCAUCAACACAGGAUCCCACGUAAACUUUCCACGAUUCUUGCAUAUUAAAUUUUUUUCUCGCAACCAGCACAGAACAGGUUGCUUGAUACAUAUCUUUCACCCUGGACCCACCUUCAUAGACAACUUUGUUGCACCGGCUGAAAGAACAUGACACAUGUAUUGCCCCAGAAUUCCAUGGAUAGCCAUCUGAUGGACCAGUAGCACCUGAAGCAACAUUUGAAUCAACUUUCAAGCGUUUGGAGAUAAUUGUAUCAUCUUCAUUUCUUUCAGAAAGAGUUCUUAGAAAUCUCCUCUGCCCGUCAACAUUUACUGCAUUGGGAGUCUCAGACUGGACAUGAUAAAUGCUCUGUUUAUCCCCUCCCAGAUUCAUCUUUGAUUUAGAAUCUCUGCUAACAUUCAUAUUGAACGAUCCUUUUCUCUCUAGAAGAGCAGUACAAAGCUUCGAUGGAGUUGGGAAGGAAUAUAUCAGUCGCAUAUCAACUCCUAUAUUAUUAGAAAGAUGAGCAGCAGCAAUUGAAUCUCCACCCAUCAUAAAGAAAUCAUCAUCAUCAGAAACCUCAUCAGCCCUUAAAACAUCACUAAAGGCCUGUCAAGAAGGAAACAAAUUACUAUGAAUUUAUAGAUAAUAAAAAAUUAACCUGAGUUGAGGAAACAAAUAGUCAGUGUGAAUUUAAACAUAAUAAAAAUUCAAAGUAAGAGAUUAAUUGUCAUCCUAAAAGUGAUUGAGAUAACAAAUAAAUUGUUACUUGAAAGAAAUUGUGGGAAACUUGUAGGAUGAUAAAUGAUCUUUUUAUUUGUUAACAUUUUUGCAUUUCAUAACAUACAUCAGUUUUCCAGAACUCGGUGACACGCCACUACAUAAUGGGCUAGAUUUAAGUUUCAAAACCUCAACAAAAACUCAGCCCAAGUAAAAGGGCAAGUGGCAGGGAGGGACAAACGAAGUCCCAUUCCAGCUUAGGAAAAUAUAUUAAUUUGGCUUAGAACCAUGCUCAGCUCAAGUUAGCAUUUAUUCAUCUCCCAUAAUGAUAUUCAUUAAAAAUUAAGAACAUCAUGACUGUUAGUAAUAAUAGUGCUGACCAAAGUGAAAAUUUAAUCAAUAAAAACGACAGCAAAUAUUGAUAGAAAAUUGAAACACUCUGGAGAUUUAUCCCUAAUUUGAAAACUUAAGCCAAGAUUCUAGACUCAAGCCCAUGAUAUGAGACCCUCCCCUGCAUGCACCCUGUUAUCCAUAAGAAUAACUUCCACUAGUGGAUGCAGAGAUCAAUGGUAAAUCAAAAAAACAAAUCCGAGCAAACAUGUGUAAUUUAGCAAAUAAAAAAAAGGUCGUACCCAGUGCACAAGGCUCCCGCUUUACGCAGGGUCUGGGAGAGGUGAAUGUCGGCUAGCCUUACCCCCAUUUAUGGAGAGGCUGCUCCCAAGUCUCGAACCCGAGACCUACUGCUCAUGGGCGAAGGCACUUGCCAUCGCACCAAGUGCGACCUCUUGUGUAAUUUAGCAAAUGACUGGAAAAAAUGAGUUGGUCAUUUUAUGAGGGUAAAGAGUUAACCCCUUUAAUUACUUGCAGUAGGUUGUGGCUCCCAACAUCACCAAUCCCAUCUCGGACAUGAUUUGCAAGAAAUAUUGAUUCUGCCAACAACUCAUAGUCAAUUUUUCCACUAGAAGACACAGGAAAUGAUUCACUGAUGACAAUGUGGCCAGGAAUCAUUACUGAUGGAAGUAUGUCAGUCAUCCAACUUUUGAUGGAAGAUCUAAGUAUCUCACUGGGUCUUUCCUCUCUUAAUAUUACAAAAGCUACGAGUGACAUGAGUUCCCCUUGAACUUUAUGAAAAAUCACAGCAGCGUCCUUUACAUCUGAAUGUCCCCUCAAUGUAUCUUCAAUUUCCUCUAAAGCAAUACGCUGCCCAUUGUACUUAAUAGUACGGUCUUUUCUACCCAAGUACACCAAGUCACCACUAGGAAGCUGUUUGGCAAAAUCACCAGUCCGAAAAUAAGAUUGAUUUCUGUGUCCAUUUACAGAACUGCAACAAGCAGAAUCUUGAAGCACGUUUACAGUGUCCAAAGGUGUAAAUGUAGAGUCAGAAUAGUAUCCAGAAGAAUUGCAUACACCAGCAACACAAAUUUCCCCCUCACUGGAUGCACCAUCGCCAUCAACAAGAACAAUAUCACAAUUAACAAUAGGCAUGCCAAUUGGAACACUUGUUAGUGUGUCUGUCUCCAAAGGCAAAAUCAUUGGCAACCUCUUGCAAUCAAAAUAUGUACAAUCACCAGAAACCUAAAAUUUAACAAUUUACAUGUUAGCACUUUUUUAAAAAUUGAUGUAUUAUCCUUUGGGAGUGAAACUCAAAGUAGCCAAUCUCUCAUGAUGAAGUACAUCACUAUAAGUGAUACUAUGAAAUGACUAAUAACAGCUUUGUCACUCCUACGCUACGACAAGCUCAACAGAAGGCUAGAAUCGAUCAUGGUGCAUUUAUUAAAGAGAAGAUAUGCUGUUUCUUCAAAAUAAAUGAAAAAAGAGAGAGGUUUUUUUUCGCUCUCUUGAUUAAUGAGCCCACUUCAGAGUUGUCACAGUACUUAAUAUAAUAAACCUGGCAAUAUCCAAACUGUAUGAUGGUCAUAUGUUGCAAAUAACACAAGAUUUAUCAGUAAAAAUAUGAAUGGCUUAAAACGGAAUUGAAAAUCAUUUCAUAUUCAUCCAAACAGGCAAUAUUAAUUGAUCUGAUAUGUUGGAGACCCAAUCGAACGAAAAGAGCUCAAUUCAAGGUAAGUUCUAAACUCUAACCUCAGUACUCCCAUACAAAUUCAAGAUCGAGGUCCUGGGUAAUAUCUUGGAAAGCAUCUCCCAUAAUGAUAAAGGCAGAACUUCUCCGCUGAGUACUAACAAAUCCAAAGAAGUUGGAAGCCGCUCCUCCUUUCGACCUUGCAAAGAAGGAAGUAUAGUUCGCAUAAGUGAUGGCACAGCAGUAAGCCUACUGACAGAGUAAGCCUACAAGAAAACUCCACAUUUAGAAAAGAAAAAAACAAUGAUAAUAAUCAACUUAUAGUAACACGAAUGGUAUAUGUGACUUAUUUUGGCAAAAUGUAAACAUCGAAAAUGAUUAACUGUUCAGCUUAUGAAAUUUCGUUUUGGUUUGCAUAAUCAGUACACAUAUUAGAAAUUGUAGAUUAAAUAGUUCGUCCCGCAUUGCAUAAACGGAUACCAAGACGUAUCGAGUUUUUAUUCCGUUAUCUUUUUCCAGCCUGAGGAUUUUGUGGAUAAGUUGAGCACAAUGCAUGACGAUUACGGCAUUGGAGGUCAAAAAACAAUUGAUCGUUAAAGUUACUUAAUUCUAUCUAAUUAAUAAUGCUGUAUUUUCACAAUGUCGCAUUCCUAGAUCAAGAUUUUAAUCUGAGCUAAACACAGUAACGAAGCUAAACACAGUAACGAAGCACGAACAAAAGAAAGGCAGUGUACCUGUAAGAAAUCCAGAAUCGAAAACACAUUUCGCUUAAGGUGAUCGAAAGGAGGUAUGACCAAAGUACAACCAGUGAGAAUUGAGCUGAGAAAUUCCUGCAGGUGAUCAACAAAGCUUAUUCCGGUCUUGAAUAACAAAACCUCAUCACCAAACAGUGGAUACAGCUCCUGCAUCCACCGGAACCGGUUCAAAAGUCCCCCCUCAGUUCCACACACGCCUUUCGGCUUCCCGGUCGAACCGGAAGUGUACAUCAAAUAACACCACAACCUCUCUUUCCCACCACUCUCACAUUUGCACGCCCAAUCGAUUACUCCAUUUCUACACUCCUCAACCUCUUCCAUUGAAAACCACAAAACACUGCGUUUGCAGGUCUCCGGUAGCCAAUUCGAGUCGGAUUCGAAUCCAAACGGCGUCUUACAGGCGACGAUAAGGUCGACGUCGGCCGAGGAAAUUACCGAAAGUAACCUCUGUUUGGGCCAGGAAGGGUCCAGAGGCAGAAACGCCUCGCCGCAUCUCAGAACUGACAGUACGGACACUAUGUACUCCGCCGACGGCGGCAUGUAUAUGCCGAAGAUUCUUGGGCCGAGCUUCUUGUAACUGCUGGGAAGUUGAGGGGCGGAGAGGAGCUGGGAGGUGAGGGAAUUGACGGCUGAGAAGAGGCGGGAGUACGUGAAGGAGUGGUCGCCGUCGUAGAGGAGUUGUUGUCGGACGGGAGCGGGAGCAGCAUCGUCGGAAAUGGAGAAGCGGGGACGGGGUUGGAGGGAGAGGAGGGCACCGCCGGAGGCGUGUAUGACGGCGAUUUUGUCGGUGUUGGUGGAGGCUGCCGCGGAGAACUCGCGGGAAAGGCAGCAAUGGGUAUUUGAUCUUGUCGCUUGGGGGGCAUCAUUUCUCGGCAUCUCCCGCUGGAGAGUACAGAUUAGAACCCGUGCGUGUUCGAGAAUGUGAUUAGAGUUAGUUUGGAAAGGUACAUUUGAACGACUAAAAAUGUAUUUUGAGAAAAUGAUUUUGGUUUUAAAAGCACGGAAGAUUUUUUUUAUAGAUUUUAUUGUUAAGGGAAGUGAGGGUUUAACACUAUUAGGAUAAUACUUAAUAUUAAGGUUUAGUAGUAUUUUUGUUUAUUUUGGUCUGUGAUUUGGUGAGUUGGGUUCAAAGCACGAUUUGGACCUGAGAAAAGCUUUGGGUUUAUCGAAGGAACGAAAUGGUCCAGUAUGGCGAAAGUUGUUUGGGCUGACCCAAUAAUGAUGAUUAGUAAUUCGGAGGUUGAUGAGGUUAGGUUUGACAUGGAGUUCGUACUCACUUGAAACUCAAAUGCGAAGGAUUGUUUCAGCUUAUAAAAUCUUUUGCUUUCACUCUUAGACUCAAACAAGGAUGAGGGUGUUUUUUUUUUUAACAAACAGUAUUAUCUACACUAAAGAAAGAGAGGAACAGGCUUUAUCUCACAAUGGAUUAGCAAUAACGUGGUUCAAAUUCGUCUUUGGUGGAAACCAAACCUAAAACCUCUUACUUACAAAUGAAGAGAAGUACGGAAUACCAUUAAACUGUAGUACUAAGUGGUAGGAUGAGUGGUUUUUUUUUUUUUUUUACAAACGAUAUUAUCUACACUAAGAGAGAUGGGAGGUUAGGCCAAGCCUCACAAUGGGUUAGUAAUAUUGUGGUUCAAAUUCGCCUUUGGCGAGAAUCGGACCUAAGACCUCUCACUUACAAGUGAAAAAAAAUAUUACUAGAUCGUAGUACUACGUGUGAGUGGUCUUUUGGCUUCUCAAAAAAUGCAUGUAUUAGGGUGUUAGAGCCUAUGUUUGGUCCUUUAUCAAUUAAUUAUAAGGAAAACUAAUGAAAAUGGCUUGAAAACUUUGAGUUUUAAUCAAAAUGACAAAAAUGUGUUAUAAGUGAAUAGUACUAGGAGUGACUUUUAGAGUUAAAAUGUCAUUUUCGUUAAAAGUGAACAGUACCAGGAGUAUUUCGUUAAAACUCCCUUAAUUAUAACCCUAAAAUGGUUUAAGUGAUAUGUCCUAGGGCUGGGCACGGGCCGGGGCGGGCCCAUUUUUGAAGGGACCGGACCGGACCUAGGUUCAAAGGAAACGGGCCGGGUCCACGGGUCCCUUUCUUUUUUGUUGUUUGAAAAAAAAUUGUACAGAUUGCAAACUGCACAGAUUACAACACUACCUCAAUAUUUAUGGAGCAGCAGCAGCCCCAUUCUGUUCUGCACCACGAGAACCUUUGGCAAAAUGUUUCUUGUCCAACUUCUCCAGAGGUGUGUCCUGCAUAACAUAAACAGAUAUUUAAGUACUACGUGGAACGAAGAUUUUAUUAGAAACAGUGAAAAAAUGUCAAAUUAUCUAACAGACUUCCAUAAGGAUUCAAAUUUAUGAAUAACACAUCAUUAACAUAACAUGAAGUGCAAUGACUUGGGUAAGCUAGGGCAUUCUGAUUUUUGGCUAAUUUAAUAGUCUUAUUGAUCCCCAUCAAAACAAGAAAGCAAUUUUAGGACAUUUCCAGUAGUUCCAAUUGAAAAUACUCCCUACAAUAAUGAUUAAGAAACUAGAGAACAUAGAAUGUACAAGCACAUAUCAAAUAUGCCACUUUUCUCAAAAAGAAAAAGUUACAAAACAAUCACCUUUGUAAGGAAAAGCCUCUCUACACGCUGCUGAACAGUACCACCCAUCUUCAGUCCUAAUGAAGCUAGUGCCUGGAAGAUAAUUAAAGAGAUAAUAUAAGAAAAUUUUCUUUUUUAUUUUUGAGAGAAGAAUAUAUAGAGCUUGCUUAAGAUGUGUUCUAAACUUAGGAUUGAACUUAGAUUAUAUUUUUUUGGGUGAAAUAAAUCAGUUCUAGCUCUUUAAUUUCAUACACAUUGAACAACAUUUAUUGAGUACAAGAUAUUUUAAUCCAUUUUCGAUUACAUAUGAAAGACUGCACAAGUAAUUUUGGAAACUAUUCGAUUUUGAGUAUCUAGAACGAAAAAAGAAGACAAACCCUGAUCCCUAACUAAUUAACUUCCUCCCAUUUUUGGCAUUCGCUUCUUUCUCUAUGUCUCACUCUAGUACUAAACCGUUUCUAUUGGUCAACAAGUUAAUGUUGAGCUUUUAACAAUCAUUAUUUACUAUAACUUAAUAACUUUUUACCUCAAUCUGUGAGCAUUUAGGGUCUAAUUUUUUGCCAUAUUUUUGCACUGCAAAUGUUAUGCUUAAAGCUUUCUCUUUUCGAAUCCCUAACUGCAGAGGGAAUGAACACUGCAAAUGUAUAAGAACUCUGAAGCAAGAAGGUAGGAGUAAUAUUUAACCUUCGAGAAAACGUCAGCCAAUCACCUUUACCAAGCUAUGUAGUUAGUAUGUUCCUCUUCAGUCCAUGGAGUGCCUACAAGGAAAAAAAGGAAAAACAAAAUCAGUUAAGACAAAAAGGAAAACAUAGUUUGACUUCUUAAAUACGAUCCUUGUGUUAUAAACAUAUCAUCUUCAUACAUAAAAGAACAGAAGAAUGGUAAAUAAAAAACCGUAUGAUGAACACUGCCAAAACCAAACUAACUACCCAUAAGUAGCUUCGCCUAACCACUACCAAAACCAAAAGAGGAAUAUUUUUUACAGCUCAAUAAUCAAUCUACAAAUUCUAACUUAAAACCCCUAAAAUCCCUACACCAGAAAUUCACAUUAAUAAUAAAACCUAAUUCAAAAUUACCUAAAUUUUAGAGGGAUGAUGGUUGGUACUGGUAGUAGCAGUGUCCUCGACGAUGGUGAUGGGGUGAUGAUGGGGGUCGCGACGACGAAGGUGGUGCCGUUGUGUUGGUUGUGACGGCGCUGUGAGAGUCUAAGAGUUGGAGCUCAACGGUGGUGAUGGGGUAAGUGAUGGUGGUCGCGACGGUGGAGUUUAUGGUGCUGUUGUGUUGGUCCCGACGGCGAUGAGCACUGUGAGAGUAAGUGUGUGAGAGAGUAUGAGAGUUGAAGUCGAGGGAAGGAAGGGAUAGAGAGAGGGAGUCGAGGGAGAGUCUGAGAAUUUGAGAGACUGAGGGUGCUUCUGGAACUUGAGAGAUGGAAUUGGCUAGGGUUAAAACUGACAGUUGAGAUUAGAUGGAGAGAUGUAUCUUAAAUCUCAUCCGUCCAUUGUAACACAAACGGGCUGGUCCGGUUACCCGCAAUUCCUAUACUUUUGGAACCGGCCCGACUCGCCCAAAUCUGUUUUUACAAAAUUAAGAAUCAGCCCGUACCCGCCCCGACCCGCGAUUCCUGUACCCGUUUGCCCACUCCUAAUAUGUCCUAUGUACGAAGGGCCGAUUUGAACCUUGUUUAUAUUCAAAGUGUUUUCAUUUAGUAUUAUGUAAUAAUGUUGUAUAUUUAAAAAUUGUUUUUAUUAGCACUUUAAAACUUUAUUGUGCACUUUUAUAAGUGUAAUUUUUUCUUUCUAAAUUAAAAAAAUAAUAAAAAUUGGAGUGCAAAAUGAGAUAUUUGAAGUGUCAAUAACAACACUCUAAAAAACAAGUGAAACUUUAAAGUUUGAGUUUUUAACCAGCAAUAUGUCUAUUUGCAUGUAACCCGUUUCAACCUGUUAAAAAAAGUUUAGUUUGGUAAUUUUCAACAACUAAAAAACCUUACUACAAUAGUCAGGAUUUAACCUUACAUAAGUGAGAUCAAAUCAUUAUUGUUUGUCAACGCCUGUCAGCAACAGUCAACGUUCGCCAACGGUCAAGGGUGGUCAACUUUGACCGACCGCUCAUUAUGAACAUUUUAAUGUAAUUUCAUUUCUUCUACAAAAUACCAAAGCAAAUUAAAAAAAAUAAAGAAUCAUUAAUUUACAAGUGCAAAAAAUGUGAAAAAACUAUACAAACGUCCGUGAUCACAUCAUCUACGCUUUAACGAUUGGUACAUCAUCAUUUAGAUGUUUAAAAGGGAGUUUUAACGAAACUCUCUCGGUACUGUUCACUUUUAAUGAAAAACGACAUUUUUACCUUUCCAUGGUACUAUUCACUACACCUUUAUUUGUUAUUUUUCAUUCAAACUAAAGUUUUUUUGGAUUUUUUGUUAGUUUUCCUUUUUUAAAACUCUCCCAACCCUAAUGAACAGUGUUUUAGGUGGAGUUGAAAAUGUGUAACAAUUCAUACUAACUAAUUUACAAGUGCAAAGAAAAAAAAUUAUGUCAACGCGACUUUUAGGUGUUAGGGUUUUAGGGUUUAGAAUAUGUAGAUGCUAAUGAUAUUUUUCAUUUGAUUAUUUGUUGAAGUAACAUAUAUUUUCUUUAACGACUAACAGGUCAGGUCAUAUUAUCGUUAUUUUAAUAGGUUAAAUUUGGGUUGGGUCAUAUUACCCGUUCAGUUUAAUGGGUUAGGCAAGACACAAUCCUUUAAGAUAUCGAGUAUGUCACGAAAACGAUAUGAACACGACUAACAUGACACGAUUGUCAGGUUUAAUGCGAGGGUAAAGGUAAAUAGAAAAUUUCAAGUCUCUUUUUUCACUUUUUGUCCCUACACAUUCUUUUUCUCUCCUUCAAUUAAAUUUAGGCCACAACACAUUAUUAAGUAGGUUCUCGACUCUACGUUAUUAAGUAUGCUACAACCUCGCUCACAAUCCUUAUCACGCAAUCCAAGUAACUUAUAGAACACAUAAUUCAGUUGGAUUUUUUUAGCCUUGAUUGCAGGAAACAUUCACCAUGAAGCAUGUACCAUAAUUUACGCUUUACGAAUUACAUAUUCUGCUUUAAUUAUGGUUCGUAAUUAUAUUGUUAUUGUUGCUAUUAUAAUUGGUGAUUGAAUAUGUGUGAAUAAGAAAAUAAAAAGAAAGAUAACAAGGGAUUUUUCAAACCCAAACAGCGAAAGAAUCACUCGAAUGAUUUUCGGAUAGACUUUCGAGUAUGAAAACCUCUUGAAUGGUGCGUUGGAUUUCCAAAUCAUAGGGCCAUGUCCUGUGUAUGUAGCCCACAUAUUGUAACCGUACUUAAUACAACUUAAGCCUCUUAAGCUGCUAACUGAAACACCACAGAAUGGGCUCUAAGAGACUCAUUUAAUAGUAUCAUUUUAAAUUUUUAGACUUUUCAAUAUCCGAAGUUUCAAAGCUGUGUGAUAUUUGGAAAUUUAGGGUAUUUCAUGUACCGCAAGGAAUUGUGUGAGAAAGAACAAAGAAAAAUAUGCACAAGGACGAAAAGAUCAUUCCUAACUUUUGAAUCUUCUGUUCUGAAUAUGCAUUUAAUCAUGUAUACAAUUAAAUAAUCAGAAGUAUUUAUCUCUUGAAGUACUACCUUUGGACUAAUGUUGUUUACCCGUCAGAUGAGUCUUCGAGUUGCCUUCCUAGUUCAUUUUCAAUAAAGCAUUCGAGAAUCCUAAAGGAUAUGUAGGAGUAGAUAUUUCAUCCUCUUAGAAGUGUGAUUACUUAUGGCGCAUGCCAAAUCCCUGGGUGUUAGGAAUCUUCAUGAAUACGGAAACCUGGCUGAUUCCAUACCAUCAGGUUUUCAUAUCUUGCUAAGGGGGCGUUUGUUGCACCAGACUGUCUUGAACUGGAUUAGCUUCAAGGACUAAACUGGACUGGCUUAGGCUAGACUAAGCUGGACUAACUUCGUGAAGUGUUUGAUGCAGUAUCGGAUUAACAAGUAGGAUAAUGAAAAUAAUAUUGUAGUUUAUUGUCGAAAUUAAUUUAUUAUUAAUUUCUUCACAUAAUCUCUCUCUCAGCUUCCCUUCUCCAUCUCAAGUUCACCAGCAAGUUGCUCCACUUCCCUCAUUAACUUCACAAUUUCACCAUCUCUCUAUUCAUCGCCUUCUCAAUCUCAAACUUUAUCUCACAUCAUUUGCUCCAUCUAGGUCAGAACAAAAACAUCACAAACACUAUUCUCCAACUCUAACCCAACAUUUUCCUUACUCUACUCACUCAACUCGCUCACAAGCGGCUCAAUCUCCACGGUGGAACUGACUCAGCUCGGACUCUAAAUCUACCUUACCCUGCACCAACGACUCCACCUAUUGCUGGUGGUCCUUGGUUUCCUUGGGCAUCAGAGAAUUCAGCGACUUGAGGUUCUGGAGCUUCUCAGAUGGCUCGUCCAUGGCAGUGGUGGUGGCAGAAAAUAUGAGAUUGGGGAUUUUUUACGGGUGAUGGUUGGUGGUGGGAAAUAUGAGAUGAGGGAUUUUUUGUGGUUGAUGCUGGUGGUGGGAAAUAUAAGAUUCGAGAUUUUAGAGGAUGAUGACCAUGGCGAAGCGAAGCAGCUUGCUAAGAAUAGUUUACAGAUCGUAAUUAAAUCCCAUCGAAAUCCAAAAUUAAAAAGCCUAGAGCUCACAGAGGGGCUUGCAGGGAGGAGCAAGAAACCGGUCUUAGCAAGUCCCAUGGUUUGGGGAGGGCCUCUCUAAGAACCUUUAAGAAGGCCUCUAGUCCACACAAGUCCUCUUUAGUCCCACUUAACCUAUCAAACAUGAGACUGUAGUCCAGUCCAGUCCCAUUUAAUGAAGCCAAACAAACGCACAUGGUCAAUCUCAGCAAGGCUUUGGAACAGAAUGAUGGUGGCAUAACUGAUCCGUUUGUGCAACUCCAAGAUGGGAGCUAUUUAGUCUAUCACUGAACUAUAAAGGCGUACUUACUCCGAUGCACCUCACUCUAGAUAGUUUUAAACUAAAACUGCUUCUACAAUAAUCAGAUGUAAUGUUUGAUAAACUUUGUUUGUAAAAGUGUUGUGAACAUGAAAAAUUAAUAUUAGUGUUAGAUAAAAUUUUAUGUAGAAAUUUGUGGUUGUGUAUAAUGACCAAAAAGAACAUAAUAUAUCUCAUCAACACUUGACAAUCACGCCAAACCCUAUUUUCAUAGUUAGCAGUGUUGGAAACAUUGGGUCUAAUUGCUAUAAUAAAUCACAUAGAAAAUUAAGAAAUAAUUCAUGCAAUUAUGUAUCACAAUAAUGCAUGCACAUGAGUAACCAAUGUUAAAUGAACAUGAUAUAAUGGAUUAGAAAAACCUAGAAAAUACAGUCAAGGCAAGUGUUGGACACUUUGUCCUUAAGACAAGUUUACGCCUCACUACGGUGCUCAUGGUUGAUCGGCUCAUGUCUCCCAAGAUAUAACGACCACGUCCUUAUAAUAGUAGCACUCCAAAUCACAAGGCUCCCUGAACCACGAUUGUGUUGAAAACCCUCUCAUAUGAACUCAAUAAGACUCUCUAAUAUUUAGUGUAUUCUAUGUAUGAUUAUGUAAACAAUGAAAAGUUAUUUAAUGAUUAUAAUGGGCUUCCCUAUUUAUAGAAUGUGAGAUACCUCUUUGGAAAACAAGUGACUAUUCAUGAAUAGUCAAAAGUUGCAACACUUUAUUUAAGUAGACAUAUCUUUCUACCACAAACUCCACUUCUAAUUUCCAUUCAAUUAAUAAAUUUAAUAUAAUAAUAUUAGUAUUAAAUUUUCCAACGAGCAGGAAUUGGCUGAUUUAGUUAUUCGCAUUGCUGCAUUGGAAGAUGGGGAGCGUCAUGGCGCAAUACUGCAACUGGUUGGGUUGGGUGGGGUGGCCCGUUGGGCAGCGAGUCAUCAAUGAAGAGUGCAAGCGCGGGGCACGGGACUCGGGGUGUGGUGCUUGGGAUGUAUGUUAUCAAUUUAUAUCACUUUUUUUUUUGUCAAUAAUCUACUUAUAUAGUUAUAUUAUAGAUAAAUUACUUUUAAUUACAUAUAUUAUAGAUAUUUUUUCUUCUCUAUCAAGCCAACAGUACUUUACCACUUUUUAUUUGAAAAAAAAAAGAGUAAUGCUAAGUAGACCAAUUUUUUAUACUAAAUUUGCAAAUUAAUUGAUGUGUCACUAAUAUGAAAUAAACACGUUAAUCAACCUUAAGUAAUAGCCCAAUCAUCAACAACUAUGUUAUGUGGUUUAUGAAAUUUAAUUUAAAAUUUUGGUCUCCCUAACAUUACCCUAGAAAAUUAAAGUCUUGGUUCUUAAACUUUCAAAAGCAAUAAUAUAUUUUUUUCCAGUUUUAAUUGACAACUCACAGAUACACUCCUAAAAGAAACUAUAGCCUACAUCAAAUUAUCUCAAACGUAUCUCUAAGCCAAUUAAACAGGCAAGCAAUCCUUGUUUAUGUGACUUAUUAGGUAUAGGGUAUGACAACUACAGCUACUGCAACUCCCCAUAACCACCGGAUUCGAGCUGAUUUGAGACCAACUGCACAGAAAGUAAAUAUCUGUGAAGUAGAGAACUCAAUUUUGACAGAGAUUUCAUUUUGUUUUUCAAAAAGGUAAAUGAUAAAUCUAACAUUACAUAAUUUUUUCAUACAGUGAUGUUAACAAUGUAAUAACAGUGUAGUAACAAUGGAAUUGCAAUGUGUUAGCAGUUGAAGGGGGAAAAAAACUAGAGAUUAGCAUGCAUAUACUUUAAAAUAAAACCAUGACAACGGAAUCAAUUACAAAUUACUAAUCAAAUUAAAUUUCUUUCAAAAUGUAUAGGCUUAGUGGUUUUUUUGUUUUUUUGUUUUUUUUUUUACAGGAAACGAUGGUGUAUUUCAUUAAUCAACAUGAACCAUUAUAAGGGUGUCAUUGGGUACAUGGCUUCAGUGACCAAUAAAUUGAUCUGAAGUGAAUUACACAAAUAGACAAAUAAGAGGAAACCCCUAAACAACAACCACAAGAGCUAACAUACAACAGCCAAGCGCACAAGAGCUACAAGUAUAUAUAUGUUACAAUAAACGAUAGCAGCAACAAAGAAAUAGAGACAGCCACAACGGACAUCGCUGAAAAGUAAGGCCACAAAAAAUCAUCGCAAAAAAACGAGAUCACAUCAAGUCAUCGUUUUGUUAGCAAACGAGACUACCAAAACGCAUCGCACAAAGGUGAAUACCAAUUUGACCAAAAUAAACAACAACACCACGGUGCACAAAGGCUAGUGGACAACGAGACAACAGCAGAAAGGGGUCCGUUGUACACCUCAGUAAUUAACAAAAUAUUCUGAGGAGGAAGCCACAAGGCAGCACCUUCCGAUGGAAGAAUGCGCCACUCCUGAUAAAGACCACUGCAUAGAUUUGGAUAGCCCCAUCAGCAAGUCGAACCAAGGCAGCUAGCUGCACAACGAAAAGCCAGAUCUGGAAAAGCCCAAGUGAUGCAACCCCAGCAAAAGCACGACCCAGACGGAGAAAACAGAGGGUGGGCACAGGUUGCGGUGUGUCUAAAUCAAGAGGAGGAAACAUCACAGCACCGACAGAGAAGUGGCUUUGACCUACCAAACAACCUCAAUCCAAACCCAAGCUUCGAAUCAGACCCAAAUCAAGAGUAUAACUUGAAAAAGGCAAAACCCGGAUCUGGGAAAGAGACCCGAAAUCACGGGACAUCAGUGCAAAAGAUGGGGAGAAGAAUAGGGAUGGAGCAAGCUAAAAAAAGCAGAGGGGGAGGGUAGGCACAGUGAAUGAGAGAAAAGAAAAGGAAAUAACAGAGGUGCGGGGAAGGGGGGACAAGGGGAGGGAGAGGGAAUGAAACGCGGGGGAAGGGGGUGACACAGGCAUAAGCUUAGUGGUUGAUGUAUCUACCUUACAUCACAUUUUUUUUAAACGGAAGAGAGUGAGAUUAUACCAUUUGGAGCCAAUGUUAUGGCCUCUCCAAAGUAACUACUAUGCUCCUUAGAACCUUGAUUGCCCUCCUUGAAUCUCCUUAGAUAUCCCUCCAUAUAUAGUAUCAAUAGGCAACCUCCAAAUUCACGACACCUAUAGAGUAGAGCAGUGAGGUGGAUGAUGGAGCCUAGAAGAGAGAUUGAGACUAGAAAUCUUUCUUUUGAGGCUGAAUUUUACUGUUACAGAUGGAGAAGUAAUUAAUUAGUAUUCCAAAGAAACUCCAUUGAUGUUCUUGAAAACCUAGAAUCAAAUAUUACAGUCCAGAAAGAAAGAGCGGGUGCUAAAAGUAUUGGAAUUGCACCAAUGACUUUUGUGCAUUAAUUUGGGUCCACUUCCAGCUUAACAUACAUUUACUAAUCACUAGUUGUCGCUUAUGAUUUGUGGAAUUAAAUUAACUUGUUAAUUAAUUUUACUAACAGCUUUUGUUAAAACUUAAGAGAUCACACACCUACGAUAGUAAUAACGAUGUUACACAAAUGAUGAUGAUAAGUUAUAAUUAAUUGUUAAUUACAUUGGAUUGAUUAUUUAGGGUAAUUGAACAUGUUUUUGUUAAAAUAAGCAUUGUACUUUAUUUAAUUAAAAAGGGUUCAAGUCACAAGCUCAAGUGGGCUAAUGGAAUGGACAAAAUGGAAUGAGUAAAGCUCUUAGGCCAUCUCCAAGUGACUCGGCCAAAGAGUUAUAAGCCAAAAUAUAGUCCGUUUUGACACAAAAACUGUCUCCAACUAAGAGUUAAGCCAAAGGACUUGUGAGCCCAUACCAGCCAAAAAUCAAACACUAGGCCAACGGGCUGGUCAAAAUGAGCCAGCCAAUCAGCCUGAUGCAGCAGAAAUCAAACACCAGGCCAACGGGCUGGUCAAAAUGAGCCAGCCAAUCAGCCUGAUGCAGCAGCCUAGCCAGCGCCAUGGGUUUGGUAUUUCUUGAUCAUGUUUGUGUAGCUGCAUCAGCUUCCGUUUAUAAUCAUAUUUAAAGUUAGGGACAGUGGUGCCGGUGAGGAGUCGGGGACGGGGACGACGGUGCCAGUGAGGAUGUUGCUGAUUUGUUGGAGACAGAUAGGCAGAUGAGGAUGAAGUCGAAGAAGGGGGACAACAGAAGAAGCAUCCCAAACCAAGAAUCAAUUAAUUCUGGUUGCAGACAAGCGCAGAAAGGAUAUGGGUUAUUGGGGAUGAAGACCCAAGAAAAAUCUACCCAAAUCCAUUUUCUAUUCUUUAAGUUUUUAAUUGUUAAAAAAUUAUUGAUUUUUUAUUGACUAAUUCUUUCUUUUCUUUUUUUUUUUCUAUUCAAAUGGUUCAAAGUUGGUAGCCAAGUCAGCACAAAUAUAUAUAUAUAUAUAUGAAAUUGAAAAAAAUAUAAAUAAAUGUAUGAGAUUAAAAUAUUUUAAAGACGAUGUAUGAAGUUGCAAUUGACUCCAAACUUGAGGAAGCAAAAUGUAAUUGACCCAAAUUUAACUUAUUUGAUAAACCUAACUAUUUAGUGAUGUUGAUUUAGGUACAACCCUUUUUUAUUAUUGGUUGGUUAUUGUUUGGAGGUUUUUUUCAUUAUAGAACAUAUAAAAAAAUAGUCCACUUCAGUUGGAGAUAGGUUUUUUGUCAAACGGACUAUGGUUUGGCCUAUGGACCUUUGGGCCCCUCGUUGGAGAUGGUAUAAAAUACGGUCUGACACUAGUCAUUAAAACAUAAUUUCUUGCAGGGUUAUAGGGCUAAACAUGGCCAUCACCAACCGAAAGGGGGCCAAAGGACCAUGUUUAGCCCUAUAGCCUUGUAAGAAAUUAUUUUUUAAUGAACAGUGUCUUGACAUAUAUUAUACAAUCUCCAAUCGAGGGGGCCAAAGGACCAUAGGCUAAAACAUAGCAUGUUUGACAAAAAAAACCAUCUCCAACCGAAGGGGGCUAAAAAAUUAGCCCCCCUCAAUAAUUUAUUAUUUUAAUUGAAUUAAUAUGGUUAAUUGAAUUAAACUACCAUAUUAAAAUAAGGUUUUCGGACAUAUUUUGUGUGCCACUUGUCGCUAAAUUAAUAAGCCUCUGGAUUUCUGAUCUUUAUAUAAUGAAAAGGAUGUGAAAAAUGGGGUAGAAAUGGCUUAGGUAUUUAUUGGGAAUUUUUUUAAUUUCGUCUAAAAAAAAUCAAAUCCAACAGUAACCUGAUGUCAGCAUGAUGUCAGGUAGCAUGUGUUUGGGCUGGACUACAUGGCUGGCUGGCUGGUUGCUCUUGGCCAGCUCGCUGGCCAGUUCUCCAAUUUUUGGCCGGGUCAGUUGGAGAUGGCCUUAGCAUCAAGCCCAAUGGUAGGGUGCGGCUAGGGGUUAUUCUACAUACCCCAUAAAGUUUUAUCAUAUGUUCUUAAUGCAAGUUUAAUCAGUUUUGUCCUUCAAAGAAAAGAGAUAAACCUUAGCCCAAAAUUCUUUGCAGUGCGCCGUCCAAUAGUAUUCUUCCAAGUAACCUUAGCACAAUUGAAACCCUACUACAUCAUCUAUUGUUGGUGUAUUAGUGACGAUACUCCUAGAGGCUCAACAAUUAAGGAGUUUCUGGCGAUUAAUCAUGAUGAGGAAGAACGCAAGCACAAAGAUGAUCCUACAAAGCGAUGCACACGUGGCUAAGGAUUCAUAUAGUAAUCUCUUCACCAUCUUUCUUUGUUGCUUUAUCGAUUACAACAAACCAUAUAUAUAGUGGGAUACCAUAUUGUAGGUUAUUUAUUAUUUUUUGUUGCAUAUUUAAUCCAUCGAACUAAAUUUGUACCAACAAUUUGCCUAGAAACCCAACAAUGUCAUGGCUACCCAAGUCAAUAUAGAAUAUUUUGGAGAACCUGUUCAGUUGCAAUUACAAAAUAAUUUGAUCAUCUCCCAAACAAUAAUUAUAUCACACAAUUAGGGUACGGAAGCUUAUGUCAAACCCCUAUUGUAAUUAUCUGAAUGUAUAUGAUUCAAAGGAGAAGUGUAUGGAAUGUCUUCCUAAAUCAUGCUUGAUACUUUGGCCAAAUAAUUUUGAAUCAUAUCGUAGAGUAUUCUCCUUCUCUUGCUGAAGGUUAGAGAUCCCUUAUUGUAUGCUCACAUGCCUCUAUGAAUACGUUAAUGACUCUAAAAAUGCAUAGAACACAUUCUUGGUGCGAUAUAUGGUCAUGUUACAUCAUCAAUUAGCCAACGACUUAUACACAAGACAACCAUGGUGUCUCAAGUUAGAGGAUUACUUGCAUUAUUGCAACUCUUAGAGUUUACUUGCUUGACAUGUAAGUAGAACUCUAUGCACACUCUCAUUUGAUCGGUUACCUAUACUCUUGUCUUAGUGUCUCCACAUGAAUAGCUUGAGAUAAGCCAUCUUCCCAAUUGAGCAAACAUAGUGUGUAGCAGUCUUUCUAGAUAAUUAGGGUCCAUUCGAUAACAAUUUAGUAUAAAAUAGAGCGACAAAGAUUUCACCAAUCCAGCUUACUUGGAUUGCUUCUUCCUCUAUACAUUCUCCACGGACUCAUUGUUCAGACGUUUAACAAUUAAUGAGACAGUCUUAACUAGUAAACUUGCCCUUUGGUGAGAUCAGUUUGACUAAUCUAGUUAUCCUAAAAUAUUUCAUAUUAUGAUUGACUUUUAGAGCACAUCCAGUAGCAGUCUAAAUAAAGUAUAGAUAGAGAUACAAGCACGAACUAAAGAAUUCAUUAUUAAAAGACAUGCAAAUAAAUUCUGUUGUGAAUCGUCUCUAACAAUUUUAUUGGCAUAAAAAAUACUCACGAAUCAUUAGAAUGGAAAACCCCAAGAAACCGCUCCAAACAACUUAUCAGUUAUCACAAACCAAACAAGAAAAUAUCUUUUGAGCAAACGACUUGGAUGUUGGUAGUGUAGGUGAUGUUGCACAGACGAUAAUCUCAGAUUCAUCCGUUCCAGUUUUUCUGGCUUUCUCACAUUCAUCUGAAAAUGUCUUAAACGCUCCUUCCACAUAUUUGAGAGCCUCUGAAACAGUUAUGUCCUCCACCAGCUUGUCAGGAUAUGUAUCCUUUCUGUGGUCUCCAUUUAUUGCAGCGGCCAAUUGAAUUAGUUCUUCUUGAAAAUCACUAAUUUUUGUCCCAUCUUUAGAUGCAGCCUCGCGUAGUUUCACCGGGUCAGGCAAAGUAACUGCAAUGAACAAAUUAAAGUGUAUGGUUGCAAUAAGUCAGAUACAUAUGUUUGAUCCCACAUUACAGUGGAACUCACAUACAUACAGGAGGAGGAAUGUUAUAAAUGAGCAACUCAUACAAUAAUCAUAGGUAAUUAAGACACUAGACAUCGACUCUUUUAAUUAAAGUUUCACCUGGACAAUCAAUUCUUGGGCUUGUUCUACUCAGGACACCCUCAAAGGUUCCCGCCCAAGCGUCACGCUUAGUCAGAAACUCUUUCAGAUUGAAAAUUUUCUUAACAGUUGCAGGAAUUGAGGAGUGCUCAAACUCUGAUGAAGGAUAUGGCCCUGAAGGCCCAUGCAACACUGCAUUUUCAAUAAGCAUGAAAGAUAGUGUAUGAGUAAUGUUAUAUUCUUCUUUUCAGUUAAUAAACAACAAUGUUAGAUCUUAAACGUCUCAGUUCAGUAAUAAUCGUAGUAAUAUGGUUAUUAAUUAUGAUACAAAUAGUUAUAUUCUUCAACUAACCUGUUCCAGGUUCAAUCCAUGGAGAAAUUAAGAUGGCUGGAGCACGAACACCAAGACGAUCGAAUUUAAAGUUGUAUGGCUCAGGACCAACGACAUCAUCCGGACUAGGAACAUCUGUCACAGGUGUUGGAACAUGAUCAUAGAAACCUCCAUGCUCGUCAUAUAUUAUAAUGAACAACAUUUCAUUCCACUGGGGACUUGCUCUUAGAGCUUCGUACACUUCUUUUAUAAACUUCUGGCCUUCAGAGACGUCAUGGGAUGGGUGAUCAUCGUUUGCAGGCACUGAUAACACAUCAAAGAAUCUUUGCUCCACCACCACAUAAUUCGGUAGCUUUCCCUCCUUACAAUGCUUCUUGAAUUGUAGAUCAAACUGAUGGAAAUUGUCAAUGUACUUCAAUUUUCUUAGAUUCCUGCCAUUUGUAAAUUAAAAUUCAGAACAUUGCUCAACUACUGUGUACUUUCUCUCUUAGUUAGAAAAAAUGCAAAGCUUAUAUUGGUGACCUUUUGAUUUUUCAGUCCUCUAAAAUUGAGAUGACAUCGUUUUGCCAACAAAAAGUAGGUAGGCAGUUUGUUUGUUUUGUUAAAUGACAUAUAAUUUCAGCUCAAUCGAAAUCUUGUUACAUCAUUCAAAUAGAUAUGAUGAUGUUGCAUGGUGUUUAUUCUUAAAUGUGCUAGUGACGGUGGUAAUAACGUACAUAGAUGUUUCGCUUAUCUCCAUAUGAUUUCACCAUGAGUUGGCAAAUAGAGAAGUAGCCAAACUUUCUGGUGCGAGAAUUCCUAACAAAAAUGUUACUCUUAUCACAUAUUUGUAAUAUUUUUCAAAUAGAGAUGAACUCACGUAUAUUGGUGGGCUCUAUCUCUAUUAGAGAGAAGAUAUAAAUAAUGUAUAAAUAUGUGAUAAAUGUAGCAUUACUCAAUUCUUAAUACUUUAAUACUUUAACAUCACUUCCCCGCCUGUAUGAUAAUAGAUAAUCAUUUUAUAAAUGUACAUGUGAGGGCUGCUUACUAAGAAACUUCAACCAUGCAAUAUGCACAAUAUGUGUCACAAAAUAAAAAACAAAAGACAUAUCAAAAGUAUAAAGGCAAUAUGAUAAUAAUCCAUGUGAGUUGUGCGACAAAAAAUGUUAUAAUAUAGUCCAAUGUAACAUAAACGAUGAAGAGUUCCAAUCCGUUACUCUGCAAUCCGUCAUAUUUCAAGUCAAUAGUAUAAUGUUAUUUAUAGUUUUUGUUUUCACAUGUUAUCUUAUUAUUAAAUUGUUAAAUCGAACGUCAUCUCACAAUGAACUAGAUAUAUUUAAAUUUAUCAAUGGUGGGGCAAAGUUAUAGAUGAUAUUUUUUCUCAACCAAAAGCAAUUUAACUUUUCCCCUCCACUAACCACUUGUUUUGGGAAUAUUUUGCAGGCCAAAUAAGGACAAAGAAAUAUUAAUAUGCAUGUGUUAAAACCUUGAAUUUGUAUUGAUUAAUUUUCUUUUCCAACUAAUGACUACUAUAAAUUAAAUUAAUGGGUGUGAAUAGAAGAGACAAAGUCAAGUUAUGUAAUAAUUAAUUAAGGGACAAAUAAUCGGACAGGGUGGGGAACCAUUUAGGUGGAGAUAUGCAAUUGGUUUGCAUGUUCUUAACAUGAAGCCCUCUAAUUAUAUUAAAUAAAAAUUUGCUGAGAGAGUUGACAAAGUGGACCUAGCUAUUAUUUGAAUAACAUGGUAGAGCAAUAAUAUCGACGAGAAAUUGUAGUAGGUCCAGUAAUUGAGUAUCCUUUAUAUUAAGAAAAUUGUAGUGGUUGGAAUGGUUGGCUACUUCUCUAAAUUAUCAUAAAAAUAUAAAAUUCCAAUCUCGAUCUUCCUUCUUCUCUUUGAUCUCUUAUGUACAAAAUUGAAAAAUCAUUCUGAAAGAAAAUCGAAAUAAUUAACUGGUCAUAUUGUCUUCACAAUCUGUACUGCUGUAGACUCCAAAACUCCAACUUGGCAUACGCCUUAGGAAAUCCAUUACUACUUUUUUCUUUGACUCUUAAAGAACCAAAAACAAUCAAAUAAUACAGGAUAAGAUUUAUGCUACAAAUCAUUAUUCCUCAAGAAACUUGAAUUAUAUUUAAAUGUUAGAUUUUAUUUUGUAACCUUGAAUAUGCUAAAGGCAUUAAUUAAAUAUUUUAAUCACUUGUGGAUGAGUUAACAGACAAGUACUAUUCGAGGAGGUUUUAACACCUUUCCCAUGUGUCAAACUUAACAUAGAAGGAGCAACCAAAAAUUCUAAAUAUAUUUGGUCGGUUUCAAGUAAAAAUUCUCGACAUUUUCGAUUGGUAAGCACUACAUUGCCGUGACCCAUUAUGAUUUCACAAGUUUGAAGAGGGUUUCAUGAACUAAAACAAUAAAUGUGUUGAUAGUGUAAUCUAUUUUUAAACGAUAAGUGAAUAAUUAUUAUGGAUUUUCAGAUAGAUUGAAUGGAUAAUUUUAGUUAAUGGAUGAAUCUAAACGAAAAUUAAUUCAUUAUUUUCAAGAGGAAGGGCAAAACAAUUUGAAAGUUUUUACCUGUACAAAAGAGUGGACGGAAAGGACUGAAAGUAAAUCCCAAAAGAAAAGCCCUCCUCGUCCAACGACUGAAAUAUUGUCUUCUGAGGCAACCCUUCAAUUAGCUUCUGUUUAUCAUUCCCCGUCAACCCAUGCGACGUCGCAGAGUGGAUGUACUGCCGGUUCGGCUGCGUCGCAGCGGGCACCGACGCGAACCACCGGUCACAUACCGCAAACUCCUUCACCAGCUCCCUGUGAACGGGGACGUUUUCGGGCCUAAAACCAUUCAUCACGGUCUCAGCUAAACCGGUUUGUGUUGUUUCAGCGUUUUGAGCGAAGCCGUUCAUGGUAGGAGGUAGGGUUUUGGAAGCGGAGGCCUCAGUCCACGGCUCGCCGAAGACUUGCUCGUACACAGCUUGGAUGGAGUGGCCGGGGUCCGGGUCAACGUAAGCAGAGUUGUCGCGGAAGAAGAUUUGGGUGGAGUUUGGGUCCAAGGUGGAAAUGGGGUUGGAUUCGGAGCCAGUGACUCCGUUGAUUUCAGGGUUUAUGGACUUCAUCCAUCCCAGCAUGUGGUCGAAGGAGCGGUUCUCUUGGACCAAAACGACCACCGUUUUGAUGGGGCUGCUGCUGCUUGACUCUGAAACCAUUGUGGUGGUGGCGGUGGUGGUCCGAUCGAGUGUGGUGGUUUGUGCUUUGGAUUACUUGGGAAUAUAAAUAUAUAUUGUGUAAAUGUUGUUAAGCUUACGUUAUGAUCAUGUGAUGGUUGUUAUAUAUAGAGAGGAGAGAUGCUCAUGGAUUUAUGAUAUUGAAGAAGCUUAGGUUGGACUUUGGAGAAACAUUGAAGAAGCUUCGGUUGGGCUUAAAAGAAGGGUAAAGUUGAUUGAAUAACAUAAAGUAUAAACUUUCGAGUUUUUAUAACCACUAAUGAGUUUCAAUUGUAAUGAAAAGUUACUAUUCCUGAUAAUUAGAACAAACAGAAAUAUGUAAAACUAAAAUUUAAGAGUGGGUGAGAGAGGGAUGGUAGAAAGAGACAAGGGUUUAGGUGUUUGUGAGAAAUGUAUUUCACCUUCUGGUUUUUAUUUAUGAUAAUUAUGAUGAGUUUUUUUGCCUUACAUGAAAUACAAGUUUAGGUAUCUCUAAAUCUAUUGGGAUUCCUAUUUAAGUUUACCCUUAUUAGUUACAACACUCCCCCUUGAGUGUGUACAAUUUAAUAAGUAGUCGCAUCAUGUUUUCAUGAUUAGGAGAUGGCGGUUGUUGUUGUCUGUUCUCGCCUUCUCGGCAAACACAAUAGUUGCAUUCACGAGUCUCUUGAUAGGGGUGCAUAUAAAAAGAUAAUCUCACAAAAACUAGCUAUAAUAAACCCAGUGAGACAAAUUCGUAGUCAAAGGAGAAAAAUGUGAGAUAAUGCGGUAUGUUGAUGCUUGACAUCUUCAAGAUGUACACAAAUGUGUGACCAACCCAGAGUAGAUGCCUCAUUAAGUUAGCAAAAAUUCAGUGGGAAAAAUGCUCCUCUCGCCUUCUCGGCAAACACAAUAGUUGCAUUCACGAGUCUCUUGAUAGGGGUGCAUAUAAAAAGAUAGUCUCACAAAAACUAGCUAUAAUUAACCCAGUGAGACAAAUUCGAAGUCAAAGGAGAAAAAUGUGAGAUAAUGCGGUAUGUUGAUGCUUGACAUCUUCAAGAUGUACACAAAUGUGUGACCAACCCAAAGUAGACACCUCAUUAAGUUAGCAAAAAUUCAGUGGGAAAAAUGCUCCUAAUCUAAGUGAAAAAGAGUACAAGGCCAUGUGAAUAUACUUCAUGAUACUUCCACUGAGACCGAUAAUACUCUCCCUGAGAAAUGAAAGGGUUUGUAUGGUUUGAGGAUUUAAUUUUUUGCAAAACUAAUUAACCAUGCAUAUAUAUAAUAAGCAAGACUAUAAAUAGCAUGCACAUAGUAACAGUGGAAGUGACAAAACUAGUAGUAAACGAAGGACAAAUUUGUUUAUUUGAAGAUCAUUUGAGCAAAAUAUAUAGAGCAAAUAACAAUACGACGGAAGCUUGUUAAUUUAUAUGCACUCAAAAACCAAUCUUUAACCAUGAAAUUCAAUGCCUAGUGGGUGGUGAACCAAAACUCAAUUCAAUUUUACAAGAAAGAGGUGAGAAUUCAUUUACCUUUGUAGAUAUCUCUUUCUUGAGCAAAUGAUACUCUCCUAAGAGAUGACCUUCAUUCCUAGCUUCUUUGCUCCUUAGAUUUGUGUUAGAAUAAGAAUCUCCAUGAGCCACCGAGGUAGGUGGCCUCUAAGUCUCUUCACCAAGCUAGGUUUGGGAAAAAAUGUGAUAACCAUGCAAAGAGAGGACUGCUAGUAAUCUCUCCAUGGUGGCCAAGUAUUUUAGAGAGAAGGAUAAUGGUGGCUCUCCAUCCUUCUCUGUGCUCUCCAAAACCCCUAGGAUGGAGCCAUAAAAUGGCUUAUAUAGGUGAGUCACAUGUGUGGAACCCCAACCAUUUCGCUCCCCAAACCGGCCAUAUAGUGUAGGUGGGCCUUUUGGGCUUUCACACUUAAGUUGUCAUGCAUAACUUGAGUUAAGAGCUCAAUAAUAGGUCAAGGCCCAAUAAACCUAGGAACUCGAAACUCACUUUUAAGGCACAAUACGGCGUCUAACAUGCGUAUAAUUGAUUAACUAAUUUAAUUAAUCGCAUCUUCUUCACAAGUUUUCCAAAACUUGAGCUUAUCGGUGUACGAGCCGUUAGGUUCUAAUUAGUGAGGCAGUUAGUGAUUAUAACUCUUACUAAUGGAUUGUGAAUUGAAACUACUUUUCAAUUCUCCCUUUAAUGAAGAUGAACAAGUGCUAAUCCUCAGGGCUUCCACACGCCAUGGUUGACAUCUAGUAAUAUGUCAUGGCUACCUAAGCUAAGCAAAAGAGGUGGAGAACUUGUUCAGUUGGAAGUAUAAUGAAAUACAGUUCUUCUCUAAAUCAAUAUUCUUAAUCACAUUGUUUAGUUGAUAUUUUAUUCAUGUCUACUAUCUAAUGUGAUUCUCCUUAUCUAUAUAAUUUUCGUGAAUGUGAUUGGGAAAGUACUUCCCAAAUCAUAUUCAUGUGCUCUAGGUAGAGACUCUUAAAUCAUAUCAUAGAGUAUUCUCCUUCAAUGGUAUAAGGUUAGGGAUCUCUAAUUUUACACUCACAUGCCUUUGGAAUCAUGAGUUUGUCAAGAAGGAAAUAAAAUCUAUUUUGAAACUUUGUAAAUUUAACACCCCCUCACGUGGGACCACGCAUUAAGGGAGCCACAAGUGCAAGAAAUCUUCAUUGAUAUGCUAAAGUUAACAACAAUCUUUUCAAAAGCUUAACAAAUCACAAUCUACCAAAACUAAUGCCUCUUUCUGUAUGCCCAACUAGAACUAGCGUCAAUCUUUUGGAAAGCCCAACUAGAAACGCCUAUUUUCGAAAGCCCAACUGGAAGUCUAGAACUAACGCUAAUCUUUUCGAAAACCUAAUUGGUACUAAUGUCUUUUAUCGAAAGCCCGAUUAAUAAAGCUCUUGAUAUGUUGGAACUAACGCCUUUUUUUUCAAAAGUUGAAUUGAAACUAGUGGUAUAUUUUUGAAAACCCAAUUGAAACUAACACCUCUUUCCAAAAGCUCCAGUCACCUAAGCUUUUUUUUCCUUCCAAUUUUUUUUCUUUCUUUUUGUUUUUUUUUUCUUCCUCAAACUCAAAAACAAACCAACACACAAGAACAAAUAGAGGUGGUGUGGUGACAGGUGGGAGUAAUAGCAACAGAAGUUGUAGAAGAUCCUGCAAUAGUAUAUUCGGUUUGCAAUAAAACUCAAAAAAACUACAUGAUAGGAAACGGAUCCUACCAUGAUAUUUUUUUUCCCCUAAUCUCUUCUCCAUGGCUACGAAACCACAACUUUUUUCUUCAUGACAAUGAAAACUAUUCUUCUUCGUCAAAAAUAUUAGAAAAUAUUCACCCUCAGGUUCAUGGCAUGUGGGUGCACGAAGAAAAUUAGUUUCGUGCACCCACAGGGAAGCGCUGACAACAAAGUUCAACAAAGAAUUGAACUCUGUUUUGAUACUAAGUUGAAAAUAAAAGGUUUAAGUAAAAUUCAAAAUUCUCUAAUAAUCUCACGAACUUUGGAAUCCAACCUCUAUAUUUUAUUCUUCUCCGUAAGGAGUUAUUUAUAAGAAUACAAUGGAGCAAAAACAGAAAAUAAAUAAAAUCAAAUCUUUGUUCACAAGACAAGGAACUAGACCAAAUUAAAUCAAAUCAAAUCACUAAUUAGAUUAAAUCUAUAAAAUACUUAUCUUUUAUGUUUUCCAACUGAAACAUGUAUCGAGAUAUACCCUAACAAUCGGGACAUCAAUGAUCACAAACCAAACAAGAAAAUAUUUUUUGAGCAAACGACUUGGUGGAGGGCGGUGUAGGUGAGGUUGCACAGACGACAAUCUCAGAUUCAUCUGUUCCACUCUCCCUGGCUUUCUCACAUUCAUGUAAGAAUUUGUUAAAUGCUUCUUCACAAUAUUUGACAGCCUCUGAAACAGUCAUGUUCUCCACCAGUUUGUGAGGAUAUAUAUCUUUUCUAUGGUCUCCAUUUAAUGCCGCGGCCAAUUGUACUAAUUCUUCUUGAAAAUCACUUAUUUUUGCCCCGUCUUUAGAUACAGCCUCUCGUAGUUUCAUAGGAUCAGGCAAAGUAGCUGCAAUUGAUAAGCAAAUUUAAAAAAAAAAAAUGUGGCAGGAGUCAAUGUAUUAUGAUAUAUAAUGUUUUAGAGACCACAUUUUUGUCUGUGAACACAUACUUUAUGAUGUGAACAUGUCCAUUAAUAAUUCCUAAUAAAUGUCGAUUGUAUAUGAAUCACUUGUCAAAUGUGGUAUUAACGAAAAAUAUCCCACGUGCCAUGUAUGUACAUGCAUGCGAGGCAUAUAUAUUUUGGAAAGGUAGAUAAGAACUAGAAAGAGAGAGCAGUGCGAGAAAAACUUAAAGUAUGACGGUCGUUGUCAAAGCUUAAAGUUAUCAAAACUCACCUGGACAAUCAGUUCUUGGACUUGUUCUAUUGAGGACAACGUCAAAGGUUCCCGCCCAUGCAUCACGCUUUGUCAGAAACUCUUUCAGAUUGAAAAUCUUCUUAACAGUUGCUGAGAUUGAGGAGUGCUCGAACUGUGACGAGGGAUAUGGCCCUGAAGGCGCAUGCAACACUGCAAUAAUAAACAAUCAAUACAUGUUAUAUAGCAUGUUUUGUUGAGGAAAAACUUAAGAGUACACAAGUGUUGGAGAGACUACACAAGUAAACAAAUUACUUGUAUUACACUCACAAAAGAUUACAACACACAAACUAUCAAGAACACACUUGAGAAGCUAUGACAAUCACUCACUUUCUAGAGACACACUCUAGACCACUCACACUCCUACAAGACUACUCUUGCUUCUCACUCUCACUUGACUCUCUCUUCUUCUUCUUGCUUGGUUGGUUACAUAGCACCACACCCUAGAACUCUCUAGUGCAUUUAUCAAGUACUCCAUCGACUUACACAUUGCCCACUGACUUGGGCAUGUCAUUUUACUAGUUUUCUAGCUCUUUCAACAAGGUUACUUUAGCUUAGAUAUUUUUAUAUUUAAUAUUCAUUCACCGACCACCUCCCAUGCAUAUUCGAACUAGAAAAAUCUAGUUCCAUUUCACUAAGGACAGAGUGCAAGUUUUCCAGAAGCUCUGCCUUCUAGACUUGCUGCUAGAGUCUUCUAGAAUCCAAACACCAACUGGGCUGGUGUUGAUCUUCAACACUCUCCCUCAACACCAGCUCAUUCUUUCCUCCAUGCCGAGUUGACGACGAAGCUUUUUCUUGAACACCCAUUUGCAUGAGAUGGGUUUCAUAUCUCUUCGCUUUGGCACUAGAUUCCAAGCUUGAUUUAGCUCUACUGCAAUGACCUCUUCUCCCAACUUUGAACCACUUAGGUUCAGCUGCUUCUUCUUCUAUGGCUAUGUUGACGUAUUUAGGAUUUUGCUUCCGGAUUCUUGUUGACCUCCUUAGUUGUAAUUGUGGACUUGAUACUUCCACUUCACUAGGUUUAUCUUCUUCUGGUUGUUGAUAUACGACAGCUUACCAAGAGUUUUGGGGCACUGCUUGCUCAACACCAUCACCAUCAAGUGAAUCCUCAAACUCAUCUGGUUUCGAUUGGAUUCGAACAAUUUGCUCCCCCAUCUUAUAUUGCAGCUUAUCUUCAAUCUCUCUCGAAUCAGGCAAUGCCUCUUUUUCUGAGGACCACCAAGAAGAUGCUUCAUCAAACACCACAUCUCGUGAUGUGUAACACCUUCUAGUCGUAGGAUCACAACAUUUCCACCCUUUUCUUUGGAUGUCGUAUCCCCACAAAGAUACAUCGAACUGCCUUCUUAUCAAACUUGCUACGUAAAUGACUUGGAACAAAUACAUAGCACACACAGCCAAAUACUCGAAAGUAACUAACUAUAGGUUUAAUAUUCCAUAGUUUCUCAAAGGGUGAGACAAAUUCUAACCUUGGUUAAGGAAGCUUGUUGAUCACAUGAGCUGCAAUUUUCAUAGCUUCGGCUCAAAACCUUCCUAGUACAUUCUUGGCAUGGAGCAUACUUUGACAUAUUUCUGCAAGAUGCCGGUUCUUUCUUUCCACUACACCAUUCAGUUGUGGCGUGUUGGCACAUGUGAACUGGUGACGUAUUCUACAAUCUCUUAGAUACUCGGAAAACUCAUUCGAGGUAUAUUCUCCUCCAUUAUCCGUGCGUAUGCAACAGAUCUUCUUUCCCAUUUCUCUUUCAACUGUCUCCUUAAACUCUUUAAAUUUUGAAAAUGUUUCAGAUUUUUCUUUCAUAAAGAAAACCCACACAUACCUAGAGAAGUCAUCAAUGAACGUCACCAUGUAUCGCAUCCCACUUAUCGAUGGUUGCUUGAUGGUCUCGAACACAUCAGAAUGAACCAACUUCAACGACUCUUUCACUUUAAACUUCGACUCUUCAUAUGGUAGUUGAUGUGCUUUACCAUAUUGGCAUCCUACACAAACUGUGUCUGUUCUCACGUCAAGCUGAGGUAGCCCCUUAAGCAUUGACUUCAUCAUCAUCACAUUUAGCUUGUGAUAGCUAAUGUGACCUAAUCUCAUGUGUCAUAAAUCUGCUUUCUCAUUCUUCCUUGUCUUGUUUACGUAUGCGGUUUCUGCUGAUAUUGCAUAGACUGACUGCAAUCGCCGUCCCUCCAUUUCUGGUGUCCUUAAGAUCUUGAGGUGUCGAUACACCUUCACAUCUCGUGGACCAAACAAGACAUAAUUUCCUAAUGACGUUAUUUGCGGCACUGAAAGCAGAUUUUUCUUCAUACCUAGAACAUGGUAGACAUCUUGAAGCGGCACAUGAUUAGUGUUGUAUCUGGGCUCAAUUACUGUCUUACCGAUGUGAGCAAUCGAUAGCCUCGAGUCGUUGGCCGUCACCACCAAGCGGCCUCUUUUGUACUCAGUCAGACUUUGUAACUUUUUCUCAUCACCUGUCAUAUGGUUUGAGCAACCUGAAUCCACGAUCCAAUCAUUCUGGUAGUCAAUCAACUCCGGACUUGCUGCUGUGAGAGCUGACUUUUACUUCUCCGUAGCAACAGAUGCUUCAGCGUCUCAUUCUUCCUCCAGGGCUAGAAACGCAACGACGUCCCAAUCAUCUUCACUUUUUUUCUCUGAGUUGGCAACGUUACUUUAUGCAGGCCUUUUGAACCAGUAAUCCUUCGCCAUGUGGCCCUUCUUUCCACAAUUGUAGCACUUGCCCUCAAACCUUUUAUUAUUCUGGGACUGACCAUGGUUGCCGUGAUACUUCGAAGCUCCCCCUGGUUGAGAACUCCCUCCUCCUUGAUGACCUUUUGCCUUAUCACCAUUUCUUUUAGAUCCACUACCAGCACGCCGCUUAAAGCUGCCUUUACUUUCGGUGUAGGGUGCUUCCUCCUCACCUCUUGAUGAGACUCCUCCCAUUUGGUUUGCCAAAGCUUCUUGAUCGGCAAGCAAAUUCUCAAACUCAACAAGUGAUGGUUGGGUCGGCCAUCCUUGUACAGCGGCAACGAAGCCUUGAUAUUCGGGUCUCAAUCCAUGGAUAUUAUUCUUUUUAUCCUGGAUUCUACAAUGGCAGCACUAGGAUCUAACUCAGAAAUUUCUCGGCAAAUAGACUUUACCUUAAGGAAAUAUUCGGCAAUCGUCAUGUCUCGUUGGGCCAUUGUUAACAACUCAUUCUCGAGAAGCUGGAGUCUUGUAUCGUUCCUCUUUGAAAAGAGUGUGGCAAAGGUGUCCCAUGCUUCUUUUAGAGUACACAACUCUUAACACAAGUGUUGGAGAGACAACACAAGUAAAAAAAUUACUUGUAUUACAACACACAAACUAUCAAGGACACACUUGAGAAGUUAUGACAAUCACUCACUUUCUAAAGACACACUCUAGACCACUCACACUCCUACAAGACUACUCUUGCUUCUCACUCUCACUUGACUCUCUCUUCUUCUUCUUGCUUGGUUGGUUACAUAGCACCACACCCAUAUUUAUAGCGCAUGUUUGCCGACUUUAAACAUGCUAGAACUCUCUAGUGCAUUUAUCAAGUACUCCACCGACUUACACAUUGCCCAUUGACUUGGGCAUGUCAUUUUACUAGUUUUCUAGCUCUUUCUACAAGGUUACUUAUUUUUAUAUUUAAUAUUCAUUCACCGACCACCUCCCAUGCAUAUUCGAACUAGAAAAAUCUAGUUCCAUUUCACCAGGACAGAGUGCAAGUUUUCCAGAAGCUAUGCCUUCUAGACUUGCUGCUUGAGUCUUCUAGAAUCCAAACACCAGCUGGGCUGGUGUUGAUCUUCAACAUGUCUCACUUUUGGUGAAUAACUAUGGGAUGUUAAUCAGAUCCUUGAUAGAGGGGAUCCGUGUAAGUUGGUCGUACUUUUAAAGUUGUAAUGAAUAUGAUGCAACUGUAUAUAACAUAUAUAACUAGUAUUAUUGUUUGAGUUAUUACCUGUUCCGCGUUCAAUCCACGGAGAAAUUAAAAUGGCUGGAACCCGAACACCAAGACGAUCAAAUUUAAAGUUGUAUGGCUCGGGACCAACGAUAUCAUCCGGACUAGGAACAUCUGUAACAGGUGUUGGAACGUGAUCGUAGAAACCACCAUGCUCGUCAUAUAUUAUAACGAACAGCAUUUCAGGCCAUUGGGGACUUGCUCUUAGUGCUUCAUACACUUCUUUUAUAAACUUCUGGCCUUCAGAGACGUCGUGAGAUGGAUGAUCAUCGUUCCCAGGUAUUGAUAGCAAAUCAAAGAACCUUUGCUCCACCACCACAUAGUUUGGUAACUUUCCCUCCUCGCAGUGCUUCUUGAAUGUUAGAUCAAACUGAUGGAAAUUUUUAAUAUACUUCAACUUUCUAAGGUUUCUGCAAUGUUAAGCAACAUUCAAAACGCGUGAGUGGCGUGUACUCCUUUACGAGCUAGAAAAACUGAAGAUUUGAGAAGCAAAACACUAUGCAUUUCUUUUCUAACAAAAAGAUAAAAAUUAAAUUAUCAAGGUUGUUACUGCAUUCUAAAAAAAUGGUCGUGCACUCAUUGCUCAUACUAAAGUUCAAGGUGAUCGCUUUUAAAGAGGGCUUUUUACAGUACACGUGUACUAAUGCACCAACUUUUGAAAUAAAACAUAUGCAAGUCAAAAAAAAAAGGGAGACUUUGGAUGCGGUCCCUAGUUAUGAACAGUCUUUGACUGAAACCUUAUUGGUUUUCAAUUUUUUAUCCAAGUCCCUGAAAUUAAUUGAUAAUUUAUUUCUAUGUACGUUACUAUAUUUUUUAAAUUAAAAAUUAAAAUUUAUAGUUGUUUAUAGUAAUGAGAUUUUAAAUAAAAAACCAUAAUUUGUGGGAUUAAAAAUAUUAAAAUAUAAAUAUACUAUUGUGUGUGUGUGUGUGUAAACAUGGGUACAUUCAUAAAAAUAACCAAAAAAUUAUUGUAUCAAAACAUGGGUACAUUCUUCAAAAUGGGUACAUUUAGCAAAAAUAAAAAUGGGUACAAAUAAAUAAAAAAAUAUGGGUACAAUACAAAUAAAAACUUUAAAAAAUAUGGGCACAAAAAGAAAUUAAUAUAUGGGUACAAAUAAAAACUGAAAGGAAAAUUGGUACAAAUUAAAAAUGGGUUGCAAAUUAAAAAUGGGUACAAACUAAAAAUAAAAAUAUAUGAUAAAAAAAUUAGCCAUAAAUAUAAAUAUACUAAUUGUAACAUUUUUAAUAUUAAAUGAAUAUAUUUAGAAAUAAAAAAUAUUUUAUUAUUGAAAUAAUUAAUGAUAUUAUUAAUACAAAGGACCUUGAUCAAAAAUUGAAAAGUAAUAAGGUUUUAAUCAAUAGAGUAGUAAAAAUAAGGAUGAAAACCUAAUUACUCCAAAAAAAAAUCAGUAUAUUGGGAAUACGGCUUGAUACACUGUUCUCGUGCAAGUCUAUGCAAAACCAAUCUUUAGAGUCAUAAAGCAUUGUCCACCAGUACACGUGCACGGUAGAAAUUUCCUUUUGGAGUGACAGAUAAAUUGAUGUACAUGAAGAGGAGAUAGCCCAACUUAUGUCAUAGGACAAAAUAAAUUUUGUUGGAGAAAUCACAACAAGAAAUCCUGUUUUCUUCUUAGGGUAUCUCGGAAUAAAAAAAAACUGAAGUGCGAAUAUUCUAACAUGCAGUUCGUUGGAACAUAAAACAAAACAAAAAUAAUAAUUCUUGUAAUUAACAACUAGGUAAGAAAACUAAGUUCUGUACCUGAAAUAAAAAAGGAAAGAAGAAAUUUGUACCUAUACAAAAGGGUAGCAGGAGGGUAUUGAUAGUAAAUUCCGAAAGAAAAGCCUUCUUCGUCCAACGACUCAAAUAUAGUCUUUUGAGGCAUCCCUUCAAUCAGCUUCUGCGUAUCGUUGCUCGUCAGCCCAUGCGACGUCGCAGAGUGCACGUACUGCCGGUUCGGCUGCGUCGAAGCCGGAAUGGACGCAAACCACCGGUCGCACACUGCAAACUCCUUCACUAGCUCCCUGUAAACUGCGACGUUUUCUGGCUUAAAACCACUCAUCACCGUCUCAGCUAAACCGGUUUGUGUCUUCUCAGCGUUUUGGGCGAAACCGUUCAUUUUCGGAGGUAGGGUUUUGGAAGCGGAGGCCUCCGUCCACGGCUCGCCGAAGACUUGCUCGUAGAUGGCUUGGAUGGAGUGGCCGGGGUCAGGGUCGACGUAGGCGGAGUUGUCGCGGAAGAAGACUUGGGUCGAGUUGGCGUCAGAGGUGGAAAUGGGGUUCGAUUCGGAGCCAGUGACCCCGUUGAUCUCGGGGUUUAGGGACUUCAUCCACCCCAGCAUGUGGUCGAAGGAGCGGUUCUCUUGUACCAAAACGACCACCGUUUUGAUGGGGCUGCUGGGUGGAGGAGUUUUAGCGCUGCCGCUGCUCGACUCGGAAACCAUUUUUGUUUGGUGGUGUGUUUCGGUGGUUGGGAAUUCUAGUAUUGUGGGAGAUAUUUUAUUGGGGUUACGCUUUGUAUGUGACAAUAUAUAUGGUUAUAUAAGAGAGAGAAUUAAAGAGACAUGAUGUUGGACACGUUUUUGGUUGGACUACCCGGAGAGGAAACUUGGAAAGUGUGAGAAAAAAUAUAUGGUUUUAUUUGGAUAAGAAAGGCUUGGGGGGUACUGAAACUUGUGUUUCACAAAAAUUCAUAUGAGCGUGAGAGUAAUAAGAAGUUGAAAUUGAUGGUCCUUACAUUAGGAAUGCAAGUCGAUAGGUUGAAGUGAUUACUUGCAUUAAUCAGAUUAAUUCUAAAGUACGUGAUUAGCAUGUUAAACACGUACAGAAAUGCGAUAUAGUGUAGGAUAUUCUUUUCUACAUUUUGUGUGAUCAAAUGUCUAUUGUAUGAUAAUAUAAGUUAUGAAAUUUAGGUGUACAAGUUAUGCUAACGAACAGAGAAUAUGCUAUGCGUGUAAUAUUACUAAAUUGGCACAAGGAGUUGUAUUGGCGAAAGUAGCUAACCUUAAAGGUCAACAAGAAACCAAUUUUAUUGAGAUUGUCAUGAAUUAAAAGAAUAAUGUACACUAAGAGAUCAAAGAAUAUGUUUAUACAGAGUUUGUCAUUCACAAAAAGAUUAAACUUAAACUUUGAGAAAAUGUGAAUUGAGACCCAAACAAAAAGAAAAAAACUUAAACGGGCCUUUACGAGCCUCUAAUAUAUCUUUUAUAUCAUGACUAAUGCCCAGUUGGUCUGAUACAUGUGACCCGCUAUUAACAAAAGAAUUGCAGUAGUUAAAUGAUGGAGUGUAAUAUCGGUCAACCAUAGACCUCAAGUCAUACGAAUAGAGAAUGUUUGAGGGAAGACAUAAGAGAUUAGAUGGUUGAAUCGUUGAUUAUAGAAUAGGCCCAUAAAAUGUGUCAAAAAGCGUACAUCUCCCAAAGUGCGUAAAAAAUGUAUCGAAAUGACACUUUUUAACACAUUUUGACACUAUUUUGUAAGGCCACUUAUAUUCCAACAAUCAGGCCGUCUAUCUUUUAAAUUUUAUUUCAAAGAUCAUGUCUAUUAAAAAUCACUUAAACUACAUAACCAUUAAAUUAAAUGAGUCAUUUUAGUAUUUCUUUGUGAAACCGUGUUCGUCUCUUUUUUUUUACUACACAUUAAUGUUUUAAUGUUUCAAAAUUUGUCUAUUAUUUUGCUAAGAUGAUGUAUGAAUGACGAUCCUUGCAAAUAAAUGUCUUAUUGUCUUAGUAUUUCUUAGUGAAACCAUAUUUGUCUAUCUAUGAAUAAUAGAGCUAUGACGCAAGAAAAAACAAUGAUAUGGCAUUUUGAAAAAAAAAAAAAAAAAAAAAAAAAAAAAACAUAUUUGCCAUAGAUGAUAACCGUUGAACAUCUUGUUGCUACCUUUGGAUUAGUCCAUUAGGUCCUUUACUCCUCCCAUGAAACAACAUAGUUGAACAGAACAAGAUAGGGCUGGAUAUUUUUGAAGGGCCUUUUUCUUUUUUUGGUGCGUAUAGUACAAUAAACCACUAUAAAUGUAACGAAUCGAACAACUUUCAGUAAACAGGACAUGUUUCAAAUCACUUCUAAUUCUCUAGUCAAGAUCUAAUACAUUUGAACGUCAACAUAUUAGUUACGAUCAUAUUAAAGCAUGUCAACUAAUUUAUAAAAUGAACAGCAUAGAACUCACUAAUUAUAUAUAUUUUUUUGGAGUAAUGUUAGGAAAAUUAAAUUUGUAGACAAAAUUUACAAACUAAAUAAUAUGUCAUCAAUAUAAAUAAGCACAUCUAUCAACGCUUAAGUAAUAAUUUAAUCAUCAACUUUCUUUUCAUUUCUUUUACAAUUUAUACUGAGAAAUCAUGGUUGAAAUUAACAAACCAACCCUAGCAUUAGCAUAUGAUAAGAAACAGAACACUAACGUGGAAGGAAGCAGAUCCUCUCCGGAUUACAUUUAGAGCCCAACAAUUCUGACUUUUAAAAUUUGAUCAUACAAUCAAAAGCGGAGAACUUACUAAAAACUUUUGAAAGAUACAAUAAUUUUGGAUCAAAUUUUGAAGGCAAUGAUUAUUUUAUCUUUGAACCUUGGAGGUAUAGAUCCAUAAGGGAUCUGCUCCCGUGAUCUAACGGUUAAUCUUAACCAAGUUGUUUUCAAAUUAGAAAAUAUGGCGUAGGCCAUCACAUCCACAAAUUAAUAAUGAUAUACCCGAUGAAACCAAACUGAGAUGAAAUCAUGAUUCGUCACCACCAUCGUUGUAGCUUGUUCGUUUCUGUGGGCAGGUGAAGAGGCUGCGGGUACAAACCAUGUAUCUAUAUGGUUCCUUCCUCCCGAACCCUACUUGCACUCUGGACUGUUAUAUUGGGGGUAUCUCUGGCUUACCGACGUCGGUGGACCUUUUUUUGGAGGGGCUAGGCUCUUUUGGUUGUAUUGUACUUCGAAUCACCCACAAAGGUAGUAUAAAACAGUUUCCGAUGCUAUGUUUCAUUUCGUGGUAUGUUUUAUGUAAGAUUUAACUAUAUUUCGCCGACGUCAAUAUCGUCUUAUGCCAUAAACUUCACCCCCUACCAUCGACAUUCCCUUUUUCAAAUUAUUCAUUCAUCGUGUCCUUGUCGCCCCAAACUUUUUAUUUCGAGAGAGAGGACCAAAAUAAUAGUAUAGAUGUAGAGAGAAGUGCAACAACUUGUGAAGUAUAGAAAUUUAGGUGUAGGAUAUUCUUUUCUACAUUUUGUGUGGUCAAAAGUUUAUUGUAUGAUAAUAUAAGUUAUGAAACUUAGGUGUGCAAGUUAUGCUAACGAACAGAGAAUAUGCUAUGCGUGUAAUAUUACUAAAUUGGCACAAGGAGUUGUAUUGGCCAAAGUAGCUAACCUUAAUGGUCAACAAGAAACCAAUUCUAUUGAGAUUGUCAUGACUUAAAAAAAUAAUGUACACUAAGAGAUCAAAGAAUGUUUAUACAGAGUUUGUCAUUCACAAAAAGAUUAAACUUCAACUUUGAGAAAAUGUGAAUUUAGACCUAAACAGAAGGAAAAAACUUAAAUGGGCCUUUACGAGCCUCUAAUAUAUCUUUUAUACCAUGACUAAUGCCCAGUUGGUCCUAAACAUGUAACCCGCUAUCAAAAAAAUAAUUGCAAUAGUUAAAUGAUAGAGUGUAAUAUCAGUCAACCAUAGACCUCAAGUCAUACAAAUAGAGAAUGUUCGAAGGAAGACAUAAGAGAUUAGAUGGUUAAAUCGUUGAUUAUAGAAUAGGCCCAUAAAGUGUGUUAAAAAAUGUACAUCUCCCAAAGUGCGUCAAAAAGUGUAUCGAAAUGACAAUUUUUAACACAUAUUUUGACACUAUUUUGUAAGGCCACUUAUAUUCUAACAAUUAGACCGUCUAUCUUUUAAACUUUAUUUCAAAGAUCAUGUCUAUUAAAAAUCACUUAAAUCCAAAACUACAUGAUCAUUGAAUUAAAUGAGUCAUUUUAGUAUUUCUUCGUGAAUCUGUGUUCGCUAUUUUUUUUACUACAAAUUAAUGUUUUAAUGUUUCAAAAUUUGUCUAUUAUUUUGCUAAGAUGAUAUGUGAAUGACUAUCCUUACAAAUGAAUGUCUUAUUAUCUUGAUAUUUCUUUGUGAAUCCAUAUUCGUCUGUCUAUGAAUAAUAGAGCUACGACAUAAGAAAAAACAAUUAUAUGGCAUUUUAGAAAACAAAAAUAAGAAAAAGAAACAUAUUUGCCGUAUAAUAACCGCUGAACAUCUCUUGUUGCCACCUUUGGAUUAGUCCAUUAGGUCCUUUUUUCCUCCCAUGAAACAAAACAACAUAGCUGAACAUAACAAGAUAAAGCUGGUACUUUUGAAAGGCCUUUUUGUUUUUUUUGUUUUUUUGGUGCGUAUAGUACAAUAAAGCACUAUAAAUGUAACGAAUCGAACAACAUUCACUAAACAACAUGUUUCAAAUCACAUCUAAUUCUCUAGUCAAGAUCUAAUACAUAUGAACGUCAACAUAUUAGUUACGAUCAUUGUAAAGCAUUUCAGCUAAUUUAUAAAAAUAACAGCAUAUAACUCACUAACUAUAUUUUUUUUUAGGGUAAUGUUAGGGAAGGUAAACUUGUAGACAAAAUUUACAAACUAAAUGAUGUGUCAUCAAUAUAAAUGAGCACAUCUAUCAACGCUUAAGUAAUAAUCCAAUCAUCAACUCUUUUUUUUCAUUUAGUUUACAAAAUUUAGCUUAUAAAUUUAGUCUCUCUAUCAUUACAUUUUUUUUUUAAUUUAUCCAACAAUGGUACACAAAUAACUGAAACCUAAGUCCACCUAAUUUAGAUGGUAAAGCAAUUAGCUCAAAUCAAAUUGGAGAAAAUCGGCUUUCAAGCAAUUAACUCAAAUCUAUUGGAGAAAAACGACAUUUCAAGUAUAACAACAAUGGCAACUGGCUCUUAGAAGAAAUCAGUCUAAAACCAACUAAAGACUAAAGGAUGGUUCUUUCCCGACUUAAAAGAAACCUCAAAUACAGGGGUGAAACAAGAAAAAUUACUCAAAUCCAACUCUAUAAACCAACUAGAAGUGGGAACAAAGAUUUAAAUGAGAAGUAGCCAGUUAAGGGAAUUAAGGCGAAAAGAGCAAGAAAACAAUUUAUACAGAGAAAGCAUGGUUGAACUUAACAAUUUAAAAGUAUGGAUUAUUUGAUCCUUGAACUCGGAAUGUGUAGAUCCAAAGACAAUCUGCUCCCGUGAUUUAAUGGUUAAUCUUAACCAAAGUUGUUUUCAAGUUAGAAAAUAUGCGUAGCCCAUCACAUCCACAAAUUAAUAAUGAUAUAUUACCAAAUUGAGAUGAAAUCAUGGGAAAGGGAUCCUCUCGGAUCCCUUCCACUAAAUCCAUCAAGUUUGAAAACUCGGAUCAUUGAAAUUUGAUCUAACGGUUAAAGUUAUUAUAACUUUUAAAGUGGACCCUGUUUGUAGCCGUUUAAUCAAAUUUCAAUGAUCCAAAUCUCAAAACUUAGUAGAUUUGAUAGAAGAAAUCUAGAGAUGAUCCCUUUCCGAAAUCAUGAAUCGUCACCACCACCGUUGUAGCUUGUAGGUUUCUCGGGGCGGGUGACGAGGCUGCCGGUACAAAUUAUGUAUUUAUAUGCUUCCUCCCGAGCCCUAAUUGCACUUUGGACUCUUAUAUUGGGGUAUCUCUGGUCUGGCCUACUAACGUCGGUGGACUUUUUGUGGAGAAUCGUCUAGGAGGGGCUAGGCUCUCUUGCUUGUAUUGUAGUUCGAAUUAGCACAACACUUUUUACAAUGCUAUGUUUCAUUUCGUGGUAUGUUUUAUGUAAGAUUUAAAAAAAAAAAAAUUUUAAAAAAAAGAACAAACAAAUGAUGACAAGUCAUGAUUAUCCACUCAUUCCGGACCCGAAGAGGCUAUGGAAAAUUUCACUAUACCCGUGACCACAAUCAAACAGACACACCAGCAUCGAUAUCGUCUUACGCCAGAAACUUCAUCCCCUUCCAUCGACAUCCCUUCUCCCAUAUAUACAUACACCUUGUCACCCCAAAUUUUUUUAGGAAACUUUAACGAAAAGAUCCCGGUACUGUUCACUUUAACAAAAAAAUCAUAUUUUUAUAUUAAAAAGUCAAUCCUGAUACUAUUCACUUUACUCUUUAUUUUGCUCUUAUCGUUAAAACUCAAAAUUUUCAAAUUCUUUUCAUUAGUUUUCCUAAUUUUUUUAUGUUGAGAAUGAGUACCAAAAUAAUAGUAUAGAUAUAGAGAGAAGAGCAACAACUUGUUAAGUAUAGAAAUUAUAAAUUAUGUUUAACACUGUUUCGAGGAAAAUAAAUUUAAAAUUUUGAUAAAAGUUAUAAUUUAUAAAUUAACUACACUAAUUUUUUUGUUUAGAUUCAUAAACAUAAAAAUUUAGAAUUUUAUUUUUAAGUAAUGCACCAUUAUUACUUUAGUACUAGUUUAAUGUGACGACUCGUCCCGAAUUAAAACAUAUUUUAUCCUCGAAUGUGUGAAAAUGACGAGUAUACCCUCAAGUAGUAGUGAUGUGGAUGUACAUUUUUAGUUUUAAAUUAUUUGUAGCGGACAGUGAGCAAAUUAUACGCAACGUCACGAGUGUAUGGAUGCAAGUUUGGGCCGAGUCGGGUGUGUAGAGGAAAUGUUGUGGAGGAAUAAGGGAGUUGUGGGUUGUUUUGAUUUAAAUUAUUAUCCUUAAACCUUAUGGCCCAAUCAGGGCCCUACUCUUCUAUUUCUGCCCAAUCCCGUGAGACACACACACACCUACACGUGCUCCUUCUUCCCUAACUCUCUUUUUCUCGAACUCUCUCUUUCCGUACAACCUGAUCUCAUAGCUCUCAAAACCCUUCAAAACGUCAUAGAUCGAGUGUAAGGAUAACACUAUUGUGCUUCCCUCGACCUUACGAAUCGAGCCGUACCCUUGGUUUGAAGGGAAGACUGGUAGAACUCGAGAUACCCGAGCUCCGGCAAGGAGUGUAAUUUUCUCCGACGUGAUCGUCGAGGUUUUACUUGCUAUUGAGACUUGGAAAGGUAUUAUUACAACUCCUCUAAUGUUUUAGACUAUUUUUUGUUAAGUUUGGACGUCGAAAUAAGCUUGGUACGUAUUAUGAAAGAAAAAUUGUGUUCUUUUUAUUCUUGUAAAAAUACAUGACUUCAAUUCUUUUGUGCUUUGGCGAGAGAAGAGAAGGAAAGUAGAUUGCUCUAUGCAAAUAAUAGAUUUAUCAAUGCUUAUGAAAGUGGAUUGCUCUUUGCUUUUUUUUUUUUUUUUUUUUCCUACUACGACCGAGAGAAAUGCCAGUAGAGAUGAGCAUACAAAAUUUAACGUAUGCUGGAAGACUGCACAAAUUCAAACCAAGAACAAAUCCAAAUAUCCACAUAUCACUAUAUUAAUAAUUCCAAAAGCAUUUCCACAAAUCCAUCAUGCUUGACUUGAAAUAGAGAUAUUUGAAAAUAAAUAUAAUUUGCAACACAUUACAUAAACCACUCACCUUUGAUAAUUCGAGCUUUAACAAGAUAACCCAACUAAAAAUCUCCAGAACUUAAGCUUACAUGCAUACUGACUAACUCCUUUGCAUGAUAACAAAGGAGCGCAUUUGCUCUCCUACUUAUAAAACUCGGGCCCCUCUGUGCGUGCAGAAGAAUGA
rnacentral:lncRNA from 1 species